rnacentral:lncRNA from 1 species
UUUUUUUUAGGUUGUACCAAUUUCUAUCCAUUUCCGCAACAAGUAAUUCUGAAAGGAGAGAAUAGUAUAAAGUUGAAAAUUACAACACAUGGAUCACUUUAAACAGCACUAGAGAGGACAAUCGUAUUGGCACAUAAGAAAAAACACCCGGUGUAAAAGAAUUUUACGGGUACGACUUUGAGGGAGUUGACCGCUGAACGCCUGAACCAAAUCGUCAUCGUCCACCAUCCACCAGCCACGGUGUUGAUGUCAUUGUCAUAGAAAGCGCAACCAUCAAUAAACCCUAUUGCAUCACUGCUUUGUGAGCCGUAGAAAGCGCCACCAUGGACGGCGGAACGCAUAUCGAUGUGGCGCAUUGGUCGGGGUUCAACCCUGUCAUUCUUGGGCCUCAGAUCCGCCGUCCCUAGUUGACGAAUACCACCGGAUCCGCCUGCCUGUAGACCAUAACCCAAUGCUAAAUCAACAACCACAUUGAAAGAAACCGUCGUCGCCGCCGCAUGAAGCAGCGGCCGACGACGAACUCCUGUACGUACAUGACACUUUCCACUCACUCCUCGGAGCCUCCUCAAGAAGAAGCCCUGCGAUGGGGCCGAAGUGAGGAACACCUUAUUCUCCGCGGUGGCGAUGCCCACUGUUCAGAAAAACUACUAACCCUAGACCACCAACCAGCCGGAUACGGAGCACCGAGAUCCCCACCUCACCUGCUACCGCUGAAGCAGCAGGCGGAUGUGGAAGGGAUCCACGAGCCAACCGGCUGAAAGCGACGGGGACUUGGUCGCCUCCUCUUCGCCUGGGAAAGAAAUGAAGACUGGAUCCGCUAGUCGGGUUCACAACUCUUGAGUUAAGGUCAACGUGCCAAAUCGCUCGCAAAUGUCCUCAUCAUAUUGUUCGGACAUUUUGUUGUCACCCAAUGGCGGUCGAAAAAAUGUCAGGACCCGCAAACCGACAUCAAAUGCAGGGAAGUUUGGUGGAGUCCGGUUGUCUGUUGUCCGACAGCCAUGGCCCACCCAAAGCCUUUCCCCCCACUUUGUCCCUUCCCCGUGAUGUGUAUCUGCACCAUCGGUGACCGACGUUGCUAUUUAUCACCGUUCAUAUAUGUAUUCCCAAAUUCAAAUGAGUAUGCAUGUUUGAUAGACCAAUCUCCGUUCAUAUCUUCGUUUAGCCAUUUGCAAUGGUACAGACCAUCGAUUUCUGAGAGAAAACAUAAAAAAUGUUACAUAGGUCAAGAAUUGUAUUCUGGACAUGUGGGUCCAUUUUCCCUGUAAUUGCAACCGGAAGUAUAUGUGUGAUCAUCGAAAUAUUUCAGAACUUUCAUUAUACAUAUUUAAGAUUUAAGUAUGUGUGUUUGAAUUCGGUUUAGCUAAACCUCAAGUGCCUGAAAAAUAUUCUUGGUGUCAUUCACCUUUUUCUUCUUCCCGAGCGCGUGAGAUGGGGAGGUUGGACCUCGCUGCAGACGAAGUAACCUUACUAUCUAUCUAAGGGAUGUGGGGGUGCAUGUUCAUUGAGAAAGCAGCNNNNNNNNNNNNNNNNNNNNNNNNNNNNNNNNNNNNNNNNNNNNNNNNNNNNNNNNNNNNNNNNNNNNNNNNNNNNNNNNNNNNNNNNNNNNNNNNNNNNNNNNNNNNNNNNNNNNNNNNNNNNNNNNNNNNNNNNNNNNNNNNNNNNNNNNNNNNNNNNNNNNNNNNNNNNNNNNNNNNNNNNNNNNNNNNNNNNNNNNNNNNNNNNNNNNNNNNNNNNNNNNNNNNNNNNNNNNNNNNNNNNNNNNNNNNNNNNNNNNNNNNNNNNNNNNNNNNNNNNNNNNNNNNNNNNNNNNNNNNNNNNNNNNNNNNNNNNNNNNNNNNNNNNNNNNNNNNNNNNNNNNNNNNNNNNNNNNNNNNNNNNNNNNNNNNNNNNNNNNNNNNNNNNNNNNNNNNNNNNNNNNNNNNNNNNNNNNNNNNNNNNNNNNNNNNNNNNNNNNNNNNNNNNNNNNNNUAGAAGGAUGGUCGGGGCGGCGACCAACACUACGGGGAUGGGGGGAGAGGAGGGCGGGCGGUGACAGCCGCUGGCCGGGGGAGGGGGGGCAGUCGGUUAGGGCUAGGUUGGCCGGCAGCUAGCUGCGCGAGAAAGAAGAAGUUGGAGGUUGAAGAUGAACGAUGCCUUAAUCUAUUUUCAGCCGUUGGAUGGAGAUCUAAUGGAAUGAAAGUAAGUGAUCCAACAUAUUUUUCAGGCAGCUGAUGUAUAGGUGAUCCCGUUUGAAUUUUCACAUAAAUAUAUACGAAAAGUACCAAAGUUUUGUUUCAUAAAACCUAGUUAUAUGCUAACUACAUUAUUUAUAAUCUUUCUUCGCAUUUGAAUUUUUUUAUUUCUAGUUGGUGCCUUCCAGCUCAGUUUGAUGUGGUUGGUGGCCUCCGGCUCGGCUGGAUGUGGAGGAUUCAGGCCCGAUCUAGUCCUCUAUCAAUCCCAAAGCCCGGCGGUGGUUUGGACUGCGGCUAGUUUUGGCCAUGUCCAGAAAACCCGGGCCAAUGGCUCUAUGCCAGGAGGUAGACCGUGGCGGCGAGGUGAUGAAACCGGUCAUGGCUUGGUGGUCGUGAUCAAAAUUUGAUCGGCUGAGUGGGGUAGCUGCGGAUUAUGUUGCAGCGAUCUCAUACGGCUCCGCGAUGGUGAUGGUCACCGAAAGAUCUUCAAGAGUGUUCAUCACUCAAGAUCUAGUGGGUCGAUUUUCACGAUGAGAUGCAAAUUAUGAACGACGACUUGACGCGGAGGGAUGGUUAUGCUGUGGCGGCGGUCGCAUCGCAUGUAACUGCUGGAAUCGUGGAAAAAUGGUGGCGACAACACUUGAGUGACUUCGAUGGUGAUGCUAAUCAAGCACUUGGUCACGAGCUCCAGGAUGAAAACCUAGGCCUGACCAGUGACGGUUAUACCUGGCAAUGUCGAUGUUCUUAAUUACGUCGUAACCUAAUUGAAGGCAUUACUCGGAUAUGUUCGGAUCGAUUCUCCAGGGUGAAAGCUUAGAUUCUGGCCUUUGUGGUUGGAUCCGGUGACGACGAUGCUUGAUUGUCGCUACCUUGUUGAAGGCGUUGCCGUUGAGGAACCUUGUCGUCUAUGUGAUGUCAUGAGAUGGUUGGUGCGGAUGCGGUAUUUAUUAUAAUCUAUCGAUCACGGACCUGAUCACUUUGUUUUUUUUCCCGCCUACAUAUAGAUUUGGUCUUAUGUGACUUUGCUAUUUGCCGACGUGUUUCUGUGUGUGUGGGUUCGUGUUAGUUGUGUGCCGGGUGCAUCCUAACUAUGCAGAAGCCGGGUGUGUGCUCUUUGGGUUUGUAUCCUCUUAAUGCUUCUUUUUUUUGAGCUAAUAAAAUUCAAUCUUUAUAAGAAAAUCGUAGCUAUACGGACAUGGAUGUAUUUUUUUAUUUCUAGUAUUCUUUGUACUACCUUGACGGUAGGUUUUCAAGAAAAAAAAACAGAACAGAAGGUAGUGCUAGUCCAGUCCACGCCCGUGUACACCCAAAGCGUGCGCGCAACAUUUUACAUUUCAACCUUUGACUGACACGCCGCCGUCCUCCGCCCGCUGCCACCCCCCUCAAAAACCUAGGCCCAUCGCCGCCGCCGGCCGCCAUGGCGCCGCCUCGCUCCACCGCCGCCCCUCCAAACCUCCCUAUGCCCGACCCUACGGCCGUCGACGAGUUCAAUCUGCAUCUGCUCCACGCGGCGAGCGAGGGCGACCUCCCGCUCUUAAAGUGUCAUCGCCCCUAAUCUGGCAGGCGAUGCAAAGCAUGGCAAUGAACCACCAAAGGAGGCGACAAGUAACAGUGAAUGAUUGAAUUCAAGUAAUUGGGCUGAGUCGAGUUAGUGGGCCGCGGGCCAUGUAAUUGUGGUGGUAGCGUGUGAGUGGGAGAGCCUGAUAUAAGCUCAACCUCUGUAGCUGUCCGGCAGAAUAGAAAAUAUCUGAAAUGAAAUAGUCUAUUUUCCCCUCCCGUGCUCUGUUUCUCCUUCUCCCUGAGCUUCUUCUUCUCCACGCCGCUACCUGCUUUUCCCCGUCCCAAAUCCUAGGGUUUACCCAAGGCAAGGACACGACAGUUGGUAUCAGAUUGCCUCUUCGAUCCGUUGAUCCCCGCUUCCUCGAGAUGGGACUAUAACAUCGACCGAUCGGUUGUGUGGCUGCUCCGGUAGCCGCCUGUAAAUCCGAGAUCGGCGUUGGUCCGGUUCAGAGAGGGUGACGACGGCGCCGUUCAAGCCGAGCGCGCAGACUCGACAUCUGGUGGACGUAAUGCCGACGUUUGAGGAGUGCGUGUUGAAGGAGUUGGCCGCCCUCAAGGAGAUUGGUGAACAGGUCGCGCGAAUCGACGGGAUCAGUGCACGGCUUGAUGGCCUCGACAUGAAGUUCUCCAAGCAGGUGCAGCGCCUGGACCAAGUGCAAGCGAAGGUUGAUCUCUUGGUUACUUCCAUCGGGGAGAUCCACCAGGAACAAGUGCAGGUGGCUCGCGUGAUCAAGGAGUCCCAUAGUACUCAAGAUGCAGAUCUGGACCGGCUCGCGCAGCCCAGCUAUUUUGCGGCGUCUCCGACAGCCGCGCAGGCAGCGUCCACCACCCAAGUACCCCCUCCGCUCCGUCGACCCUUCGAUCCUGGACGACCACCGCAGUCCCCGCGCCCCCUGAUGAGCAGAGCUCCAAGCGGCCAUGGAUGCCGAAGAUGGAGUUUCCCCGAUUUGAUGGCGAAGGGGUGCGCAUGUGGUUGGAUAACUGCGAGGUCUACUUCCAGCUGUACCAAAUUCCCGAAGGAUUCAAGCUUAUGUCUGCGUCUCUGCAUUUACAAGGUAAUGUUGCCCAUUGGUAUCAAGCAUGUAAGCACACAGAUGCAUGUGCAGACUGGCCACGGUUUAGAGCAGCAAUUCUGCGGGAAUUUGAUGUCAAUAUCCAUCGUAAUUGCCCACGCGAGUUACUAUUACUCAAACAAGAUGAUACAGUUCAGCAAUAUCGUACGGCGUUCAAUCAGCCGGUGUAUCAAGUGAGACUGUAUGACGCAACUAUCAGUGAAACUAUGCUGGUCACUCAAUUUAUGCUGGGACUGAAAGAGGAAAUCAGGUCUGCGGUUGAGAUUCAGUUACCUGCUACUGUGGGACUGGCAGCAGAAUACGCCUUGGUGCAAGAAGCAGUUUUAGAACGUCAGAAAGUGCAGACAACAAAAAUUCAAAAACAGUUCAGCAGUCCCAAAUACACUGCAAAUCGCCAAGACCAGUCUGUUCGACCCCAGUUCACUGCAGGAGACUUAUGGCGUGCAAAACAACUUAAGGAAUUCAGGAGAGCAAAUGGACUCUGCUACAGUUGUGGAGAGAAAUACAAUCAGGGUCAUGUGUGUGCCAGCAAACCACCUCUGCAACUCAAAGCUCUGCAAGCGCAGGAAAUUGAAGGACAGUUAUCGGAUGAGAUUCUGAACGCCAUUUCUGCUGAGGAGGCUGUAGAAGAAGUAGCAGCUUACUUAUCUGUCAAUGCUAUAGCUGGUUCUGAAAAUCCUAAAACAAUCAGACUUUGGGCUCUAGUUGAAAACAAAGUUAUGUUACUACUAGUGGAUUCAGGGAGUUCUCAUACAUUCAUUGACAGGCAAUUAGCAGACAAACUGAAACACAAAGCAACUACUCUCACCAAACCACUGCAAGUGAAAGUGGCCAAUGGAGAUCAACUUCAAUGUGAUACUGAAAUGGCAGGCUUACAAUGGUGGAUCAGUGGACACACUUUCACUUCUGACAUGAAAGUUAUUGAUCUUGGUGGGUAUGAUGCAAUCUUAGGUAUGGAUUGGCUUGCCAAGUGGGGAGCCAUGACUUGUCACUGGGAAGAGAAGUGGCUACAGUUUGAUAAACAAGGUCAACAGAUUAAACUACAAGGGGUGAUAGAGAAAGAGCAAACUGAACUCAAGGCCAUUUCUAUGGAACAAAUGCUCAAAUGGCACAAAGGUAAUGACAUAUGGGCUACUGUUGUACUAUCUCCAGCUCUGCACACUGAAAAUCAGGAGAUGCCAGAGUGCAUUACCAAAGUCCUAGCAGAUUUUACUGAUGUGUUUGAAGAUCCUCAACAGUUACCACCCCACAGAGUGUUUGAUCAUGCAAUCUCACUGCUGCCUGAUAGUGCACCAGUUAAUGUAAGGCCUUAUAGAUAUAAUCCACAGCAGAAAGAUGAGAUUGAGAAACAAGUCAAUGAGAUGUUAGCUUCUGGACUGAUUAAACCCAGCAUGUCACCAUUUGCUUCUCCGAUGCUGUUAGUCAAAAAAAAAGAUGGGCCAUGGAGAUUCUGUGUGGACUACAGAAGACUGAAUGCUUUGACAGUGAAGAACAAGUUCCCUAUGCCUGUAGUUGACGAAUUGCUUGAUGAGCUAGCUGGGGCAAAGUGGUUUUCUAAAUUGGACCUCAGAUCGGGAUAUCAUCAAAUAAGGAUGAUAGAGUCAGAUGAAGCGAAAACUGCAUUUAAAACUCAUCAUGGACAGUACCAAUUCAGAGUGAUGCCCUUUGGUCUCACAAAUGCUCCUGCAACUUUUCAGUGCCUGAUGAACAUCAUUUUUGGCAAAUAUGCAAGAAGAUUUGUUCUGAUUUUCAUGGAUGAUAUAUUAAUAUUCAGUGAAACACUGGAAGAACAUGAGGACCAUUUAAGACAAGUCUUACAAACUCUGAGGACCAACCAGUUGUAUGCAAAGAUGAGCAAAUGUUGUUUUGCAACCCAGCAAAUCAGCUAUCUUGGACAUGUGAUUUCUGACCAAGGUGUGGCCACAGAUCCUGAGAAAACAAGAGCUAUGGAACAGUGGCCCCAACCCACCUCUUUCACUGAGUUGAGGGGAUUUCUGGGUUUAACUGGGUACUAUAAGAAGUUUGUUCCACAUUAUGGCAUUUUGGCAAAACCACUGACAUCUCUGUUGCAGUUGAAGAAUUUCUAAUGGACACCUGCAGCACAACUGGCCUUUGAGAAGCUCAAAACAGCUAUGUCUUCCACACCGGUGUUGGCCCUGCCUGAUUUCUCCAAAUCAUUUGCAGUAGAGACAGAUGCCUGUGAUACGGGUAUUGGUGCUGUCCUCACUCAAGAGGGCCACCCUGUGGCCUACUACAGCAAAGCUUUAGGAGUCAAUAAUCAUAAAUUGCCUACUUAUGAAAAAGAAUUCAUGGCAGUAAUGAUGGCAGUGGAUAAGUGGAGGUCUUAUCUCAACAGAGGACCAUUUGUAAUUAAAACAGAUCACACGAGUUUAUGCAACUUGCAAGACCAAGUACUUCACACUGAAUUGCAGAAAAAAGCAAUGGCAAAACUGGCAGGCCUACAAUUUAAAUUUCAGUACAAAAAGGGCACAGAGAAUAAGGCAGCUGAUGCUUUAUCCAGAAUUGGACAUGUCUUUGCUGUGCAAGCAGUGUCCACUGCUCAACCAGUUUGGGUGCAAGAAGUGGCAAACUCUUAUGCAGUGGAUACCAGAGCACAAGAAUUACUAACAAAAUUAGCUAUAACACCUGAGGCUGAACCUGGAUUUGCACUGUCACAAGGUCUCAUCAGAUUUAAAGGAAGAAUUUGUAUUGGAGCUAAUGUUGGACUGCACACCAGGUUAAUUGAGGCCUUUCAUGCAUCUCCUAUUGGGGGACACAGUGGAAUUCAAGCUACUUAUCAGAGAGUAAAGAAGUUAUUUCACUGGAAUGGCAUUAAACAAGAUGUGCAAAAUUUUGUACAACAAUGCCAGACAUGUCAGCAGGCCAAGCAUGAACAUUGCAAAUAUCCAGGUUUGCUUAAUCCUCUACCUAUUCCAGCCAGAGCUUGGGAAGAUGUAACCAUGAACUUUGUGGAAGGACUGCCUAAAUCAAAUGGACACAGUGUCAUUAUGGUAGUGGUGGAUAGAUACUCUAAGUACAGCCACUUUAUUCCCCUCAAGCAUCCAUAUUCUGCUGCUACAGUUGCUCAAAUGUUCAUGCAACAUGUUGUCAAGCUUCACAGCAUGCCUCCGACAAUCACUUCUGACAGAGAUACCAUCUUCACUAGCCAUUUCUGGAAGGAAUUGUUGGCAAUCUGGGGUCCCAAAUUACAGAUGUCCACUGCUCGACAUCCUCAAACCGAUGGGCAAACGGAAAGAGUGAACCAAUGCUUGGAAAUGUACCUGAGAUGUGCGGUACAUGACUCUCCCACCAAGUGGCAUAAUUGGCUAGCUCUGACAGAAUUAUGGUACAACACUACUUAUCACUCCUCUUUGGGCUGCUCCCCUUUCAAGGCUUUGUAUGGGCAAGAUCCUCACAUGGGACAGUUCCUUAGACCUCCUGAAGAGGCAUCUCCUGAUGUGCAACAGUGGCUUCAGGAAAGACAAGCUUAUGCUGAACAUCUGAAACAUCACCUCCAACGAGCUCAACAGAAGUGCAAAGCAGAUGCUGACAAACACCUCUCACCUAGAGAAUUUACAGUGGGGGAGAUGUGUUCCUGAAACUGCAACCUUAUGGUCAACUGUCUUUGCUCAAUAGACCAUGCCCCAAGCUUGCUUUCAAAUAUUUUGGACCUUUCAAGAUCGUGGAGAAGAUUGGACCAGUAGCAUAUAACUUGGAACUGCCCACAGAUGCUCAAAUCCACAAUGUGUUUCAUGUCUCUCAGUUGAAGCAACAUGUGCCUGAUCACACUCCAGUAUUUCAGUCCCUUCCAAAACUACCACAAUUGGAUACUGAAGAUCUUUCUCCUACCGAAAUUCUGGAUCGUCGUUUGGUCAAGAAAGGCAAUGCCGCCUUGUUACAAGUGCUCGUGCGUUGGGCGACUUUGCCAGUUGAGUUUGCCACAUGGGAAGAUUACACGGCGCUCCAGAAGAGGUUUCCACGGGCAGCAGCUUGGGGACAAGUAGCUCCUCAAGGGGAGGGCACUGUCAUCGCCCCUAAUCUGGCAGGCGAUGCAAAGCAUGGCAAUGAACCACCAAAGGAGGCGACAAGUAACAGUGAAUGAUUGAAUUCAAGUAAUUGGGCUGAGUUGAGUUAGUGGGCCGCGGGCCAUGUAAUUGUGGUGGUAGCGUGAGUGGGAGAGCCUGAUAUCAGCUCAACCUCUGUAGCUGUCCGGCAGAAUAGAAAAUAUCUGAAAUGAAAUAGUCUAUUUUCCCCUCCCGUGCUCUGUUUCUCCUUCUCCCUGAGCUUCUUCUUCUCCACGCCGCUACCUGCUUUUCCCCGUCCCAAAUCCUAGGGUUUACCCAAGGCAAGGACACGACAUAAAGGGUACGUCUUUCGGGUGGGCUGGCGUCUGGGAUCCCAGGGCAGGGAGGUACUGAUUUCCCCCGGGGUUCGUCGUGUUGCAGGGCUGGUGCGGGCGCUGGAGAAGAGCAGGCGGGAUCCCAGGGAGGUGCUGGAUGCGACCAGGGAGGCAGGCCUCGGGGCGCUGCACAUGGCCGCCAGAAUUGGGAGCGUGCCGGUGUGCAGGUACCUGGUCGAGGAGAUAGGGGUCGAUGUGGACGCCGACGGCACUGAAUGUACUUUCCUCUGGCCCUUAAUUUGUCUCUAAAAAAUGUACUCCAGCCCUCUUGGUAGGUGCGUUCGGAAUAUAAAAAUUCCUAGGCCAGCAAUAGAUUCCAUGCUGUUAAUUACUGUAGACAACAAAGCAUGCUCUGAUAGCCAGAGAUCGAUGAUCCCGGUAUACAUCUCUUUUCACUGACGCUCGACUUAACCUGAUAGCCGUAACACCUCUGCUUUGCGCAAUGUUUGGUGGAAGCUUGGAUACUAUCCGCUAUCUUCUCGAUCAUGGGGCUAAUCCAGACAAAGUUGUUAGCGACGGCUUCAUCCCGCUUCAUCAUGCCGCUGGAAUGGGUACUUCUCUGCUAGCACAUGGCAUCUUUCUUCCAGUAGUAUUGUAUUGCAAUAUUGUUCUACUCUGAUAUGAUUCCCAUGCGUGUUGGAAAGAGAGUAUGUAGAAGAUGGUAUUUGCAAUAGAUCUACUUUGGGAGUGGCAAAGUAUUCAGAUUUAUUUCCUAGCUUACGCUCUUCUUUUGAAUAGGAUUCCUAGCUUAUGAUGACAAACAUAAACGGCUAAUCAACCAAAACUACCUAGCUUACAUCAAGCCAUCUACUAGUUUCUUGCUGGUAUUUGACUUAUGAUGUAAAAUUAUGCGCCUCAGCUUCUUGCUGAUAUUUCACAGCCAUUUUCCUUCCCUGAGCUAAUGUAAGGAAAAUGGGUUAUGUUCACACUGAUAGUUAAAUUGAUGUGAAGUCGACAACAGCCAAACUUUUACAAAGUGACCCUCUUUUCAUGGGGGUGUUCUAUUGUUGCCUGGCUAGAAGUUGUCUGACAAAUUUUUCAUGGUUUUUAUUGUAUACUUUGGAUAUCAGUGCCAUUUCCUUUUUAUCUCAAAAGUUGCCCAUUUUCUCAUAUUCUUCUCCCUUGUCUGUUUGUAACUAUUCCUGGGAAUGUAGUUUUAAUUGGUGUGUGUCUUGAUCAUAUAAAAUCCCCCCGUCACACAAUUAGUUGUACUUUGUAGCAUUUACAUGUUGGAUUCUCUUUUCAUCUUUUUUCCUUCACUCAGGAGACCGUGAAAUGGUGGAACUCUUGCUUACAAAAGGAGCUUCUGUUGACUCAGUAUCUGCCAGUGGGACACCAUUGCAUAUCGCUGCCUUCAGAGGGCAGGAUGAAGCUAUGAAAGUUUUAUUGGAGAACAACGCAGAUGUAGGUUUAAUAACACAUUGUUUCCUCCCGAGGUGUAAUUUUGGCUAGCUGCAUUGUUCCGAUGAAACUACGCGGAUGUUUCAUUUGCUUUGCUGGUUGUGUUGAGUCGGCUUUACUGCUUUUGUUCAGUUGUUUUGAAGUCCGAGGGCAAUUAUGAGCUAACUUAAUACAUUUUUCUAGCAACUAUUAAAGAUCAUGCCUUUGUAGCAGUGACUAAGUGCACCCUGUUAACUUUUGUUUAAAUUCUACUGAGGCCAGAGUGGUUUCUCUGUACUCCAUAGGCUGUAGCUUACAUCCCAUUCGUACCUGCUUCUUCAAUAUAGGCUCCACUAUACACGCAACUAUAUGUUGUCCAAAUGCCAAUUUUAAGGGCAUUGCAACAUUCUGAAUUCGUAUCCCCUCUAGUAUUCAUGAUGAUGUAUGUUUUUCUUUCACAUACGCUUAUUCUGUCUGGUGGCUCUUGGUGGGUUCAUCCCUAGGCUCUAGCCUACCCAGCUUGGCUGGGAACAAAAGGGUGUGCUGUUAUGUGGUACUUCUCCUUCAAAGGGACACAUGGGACAGAAUUGAUAAAACGGUCUAAUUGCUUAACAUGGCCACUAAGGCAUUAAUGCUCAAUAUAUUAUUUCAGAAGCUCUUGUUGAUACAUGUUUGCUUUUGCAAAGCCAUUGAAAGAUUUUUCUUAUUACAGAAGGUCCUAGGACCACAAAUCAUUCUCCUUUUUUAUUUUUAUGUUCUUUCCUACAUUUUACUUCAGUAUAUAUAUUUAGUAACUCAUGUGUUAUUCGUUUCUCACCAGCAUAACAAGAUACUGCCUGGUAUUGACACCCCCCUUAUUUCUGCCAUAACUGCUUCCUCAGUGAAAUGUGUCAAGCUCCUGGUUGAGGUAUCAUGAAUACAGUCUCAUUUUCAUUGCGUCAGGCCUCAGAAUUACUUAAGAAAAUUUCGGUUCAAUGCUACUCCUUCCGUUCAUUAUUAUAAAGACGUUCUAACUUUUUCUGAUUCUGAUGUAUAUAGACACAUUUUAGUGUGUUUGUUCACUCAUUUCAGUCCGUAUGUACUCCGUAUUGAAAUAUCCAAAACAUCUCAUAUUUGUGAACGGAGGGAGUACAUUUUUGCACAGUAAAGUAGGUUUGGCCUUCUUUAACGGUGUUUGUUAUGUGAUCUACCUUUGAGACAUUUUUGUGGAUGCGCUACACUAAUUAUUUCCACAAGAAAGUGUCGUUUCUAAUCGGCAAUGAGCUCAUAGAGUUCCUCUAGAAACUGAUUCUUGAGCUCAUACUUUUUGGUAGGCUGGUGCUGAUGUCAAUGACGGUCUUGUACCCCCUUUAGCUGCUGCUGCGGAUAAAGGCUUAACUGCAUGCUUGAAAUGCUUACUGGAAGCUGGUGCUGACCCUAAUGUUCCUGACCCCGUAAGAUUUCUUUACCUCUAUGCCACGGCAUGCCAAUUGCUUGAACAUAGGUACUGCUGUUCACACACAUAAGAAUACUAUUUAGAGGUUUUCAUGAUUGGGACCUGCAUUACAUCACAGAUACUUUAUGAGUUUUGAUAGCGCAAUCUAAGAUCUACCAGAUUCUGCAAAUUGGAAGCCUGGCACAUAUUUUAAAAGUGAAUUCUUGGAGCUGUUGCUCUUCCAAACAGGUCCAAUAAUUCAUGAAGCUGGGUAUCCAUAGUUCCAAGAAUUCACUGAGCUGGAAUUGGGGGGUUUUGGGUGUGUGUUUUGUUUGUUAGGCUUAAAUCAUCUUAUUUUAGCCUACAUAUUAUCCAAGAGGGUGAGGUCUUCCAAACAUGCCCUAAGAUUCUUGCUAUAAUAAAAUUGUUCCACUCAAUCCAACAUCCUAGAAUCUUAUAUUUAGACUGUAUGUGCUGUCACAUGUUGCAUGCAAAUAUAAUUCUAGGGGUCAUGUGUUUUCUUAUGAAAUUAGACUUAAUUAAAACUGCCAUUGAGACUUUUGGCUUUCUUCAUUUGUUAGACUUAGGCGCGCUAACCAUUGUAUUAGAAAUAUUUCCAUGAUCGUAAUACAUCCUAGCAAUUGCAUACACACUUACCUUUCUGAAUAACACUAGAACCAGUGAGCUGCUGGCAUUUUUCAUUUCUUUUUAGGACUGUUUAUCUAUUUUUUAGCAUGCUGUGUUACGUAAUUGGAAUGGGAGGCCAUCAAAUGAUAAAAAUACAUCUCUAGUAACUCUUCAAUAAUGUCGUAUACAUCGCCAAGUCAUUUUGAAAUCCUGCGUAUCUUGUAUGAGUUAGUUGUACAAGAUUAUCUUUACUAGUGUUUAAAGACAUAAUGUCAUUGCCAAAGAAAUAUUUGUAAGACAACUCGGAAUCAUGUUUCAAGUUGCAUCAGGGCUGUCAGUUUGCAGUCUGAACGAGGGGAUAUGCCAAAAGGAAGGGGUUCAAAUUUUGAUUGGACAAACAUGGGUUUUUGACAAUCAUUUUAGCAAUUAGUUCUCAUAUUUUUUUUCAUAAUUAUCUAAACCCUUUUUAUCUUACUAAUGAUCUAGUGGAGUACACUUUUCCGCCUUAGCUUCCAUUCCCCCUGGCCUUUCUGAAAGUGCCUUUCUGAAGUUGAACUUUGUGUACAACAGUCGGGUAGGCUGCCAAUAGAACUCGCUGCACUGAACGGUACAAGGGAAGAUGUUGAGAUCUUAUUCCCUGUAACUUCUUGUAUUCCAACUGUGCAUGAUUGGAGCAUCGACGGAAUAAUACGCCAUGCAAAGUCAGUGUCUAUGAAACAGGUAUGCAUUAGAUCCUGUGUAUUUCAUAUAUUUUCUAGUUUAACAGUGGGAUCAACUUUGAAUCCAUGGUUCCGAGUUUGAAUUACCAUACAUAAAUUAGCCGUGUUUCUAUUUGCCACUUUUGAUUCGAUGAACAAGAAUUUUAUACAUGCUAUUGAUAAUAUUUUAUAAGAUUCUUUGGUUGGGGGUGAUGGCCUGAUAGGGCUUGUGAGGUUAUAUUUAUGUAAAAAGUGCUAUCUUGGUAGUAUUUAUAGAAGUUUCUAAAAUACGCAGGAGAACUGCGUACCUUUAUUCAGUAAAAAAGAACUACUGCUAUGUUGAUAGUGUGGGCUUUUGUGUGGGUGGGUGGAAGAUAUCACGAGUUCUCAAAAUUAAUAUUUCCUUGUACUAUCAGGAGCAAGACUGCGGACCGAGAUGUUUCUGUAAUUAAACAUGACUGUUCUGCUACUUUUUUGUGGCAGAAUAUUAUGCGCUGUUUCAAAAAGCGGCCGCACCAGUCAAGCACCUAUCGCUUUUAAGAACUAAGAUAGUAUAUGCACUGCUUUAUACUGGCAUUCUUGGGUCUUCUUGAUUCACUUGUUUUUCUUGAUCAUUUAGGGUGAUUAUUCAAAUCUAAGAAGAAUAGAAGAGCUGAAGUCACUCGGGGUUAAGUCUGUCAAGAGAAAUGAUUAUUCUACUGCGGCAACAAUGUAUAGUAUGGUAUGCUAUUAUACCUUAUUUCUCAAUGUGCGGUCUUGCAUAUAUCAGCUGAAGUUACUUGAAUAGAGGUUAGGUGAUCGUGAUCUGGUUUCACAUAAUUCUUGUCAUACAUGCUCCCUUUAGAGAGUGAUCAUCUUUCUGGCCGAUAUGUACAGUUGGCCUCACGCUUUGCUUUGAGACACAUAUCUCUUCAAUUUAUUGAAGAUAAUUUUUAUUGCCAUAUGUAAGUUUGACUAUGAGGAUCUGACAAGGACUUCUGUAUCCUUAAACAGCAGCAGAACUGUUGUUGAUUUCAUUUUUUGAUGGGGGACGGCAGGAGCUCUGCUUUUGCAUUGUAGAAGAGGGAAAAACACAGUACAACUGUACAACAGAGAAAAACGCUAAGACUCACACAUGGAAGUUAAACUAAGCAACCCAUCACCCUAGCUCGGAUGAGCAGACUUGAGGAUCGAAACAUCCUCCUGGAUGAAACUAGCUAACGCAGCCGCUUUCAUCACUUUCUGCUCUAAGAUCCUUCGGCUUCUUUUUUUCUAGAGAUGCCAAACGACAUAAACUGUGAUGUCUGCCUGACCAUGAUUCCCUUUUUCCGGGAUCCUCCUCCACGACUUGCAAAUCCUGAGCGAGGAAAACACAAUGGAGGAAAUUACGGGGUCGUCAAGCUGGAAUUGUUGCCACACAUCCUUUGCAUAGAAGCACUUGAGAGAAAGUUGCAGUGCACUCUUAGGUUCCUGGUCAUGCAGGCAGCAAAUACCGUUGUGUGGCCAACCUCGUGCACUGAGCCUGUUCACUGCCUAGUUGUUGAUUUCUGGGCUGUGGGUUUGGACUUUAAGAGACUGAUAUCUCUUACUUGCAAGGAAGAGUGGAGAUUAUUUGUACAUAUAGAUUGAACGUGUUUGACAAUUGUCCUCACUUCAACAUUGUCCAUUCUUGUACUUUAGUUACUGCUAUAAGGACAUUAGCUUGAAUUGACUAUAUUGUCCAGACUAGUGCAUUUUUAAGUUCUAAUCCAUCAGAAAUUCAAGGUUUUCUUUCUUGCCCUGUGAAGUACAAAAAGUUGCAAGCAAGAUGUGAUUAUAUAUAUAUAUAAUCAGAUCAGACAUGUCCUAAGUUUGGUCUCAAACUGUUGGAUGCAUGCAGGCAAUGGAGCAUGACCCUCAUGAUGCUACCUUGUUCUCGAACAGGAGCCUUUGCUGGCUCCGCAUGGGCGAUGGACACAAGGCUUUGCAGGAUGCCCUUGCAUGCAGAGAAAUGCGGCCUGGCUGGCCAAAGGCCUGCUACCGGCAGGGCGCAGCGCUCAUGUUAUUGAAGGUGUGGUCGACUAUAUCUAUCUGGUUGGCUGGUUUGUUGCUCCUUUAUUAUACCGCCGCAUGUUGUCCAUUGUUUUACACCUUGCAUUGUAUCAUCAUCAGGACUACGGGGGUGCACGUGAUGCUUUUCUGGAUGCAGCCAAGUUGGACCCGCAGAGCUCUGAGAUCAAGGCUGCGUUGCGGUACAUUUCAGUCUCACCCAUAACCUGUCAUAUCUGAAUCUACAGCCGAUUUGCACAACUACUGAUCUUGAUCUACAUACAUACUCGAAGGAGAUUUAUGCACUGCAUACAUUUAUUUGUUAGACAAUGUAGUCAUGCAUUGAAAAGCCUAAGCCUAAUUUUGCCAAAACCCUAGUGAUUCUGAUAUACAGUUGGUGUUGGAAUUAAACAUGCAGGGAAGCUAUGAGUUCCCUGGAGAUAUCCCAUGGCGCAACAAAGACCACUUGAACAGUAUGGAACUGGAGUUCCCUGGAUCGGCCUUGUUGUUUCAUUGGUUAAGUUGGUGAACCAGUAUGAGGAAAGAAGUAGCAUUAGGGAUCGACGGAGGGCACUUUUGUCAUUUCCAGCUGCUGCCUCGGCUCUUUUGUUUCCUAUUUUCUUUUACUUUGGUUAAAAAAAGUAGCAAGAGAUGCGUCGACCUAGUCAUCAGUGGCUAAGUAGCCCAAGAUACAUGGACCAAACUCCAAAAGAAUAUGCAACAGAAGAAGCAAACAAUGCAAUAUAUCUUUGCUACUCAUGUACUCCCUCCGUUCCAAAUUACUCGUUGUGGUUUUAGUUCAAAUUUAAACUAAAACUACGAUGAGUAAUUUGGAACGGAGGGAGUAGCAAAAGAAGUGGUCUUGGUGAGAGGAGCAAUUAAAUCCUCUCUCUCCCAGAAAAGAAAGGAGCUGCUGGUGGUGGUAAUGGUACCGGUGGGUCGAUGGCCGGCUUUGUCCCGUCGGUCCACAUAUAUGCCAGUGUACUAUUGCCUUAACUCACUCGACGACUCCCACGCUCAGUAGACAUCGGCUUUCGUGAGUUGGCAUAGUUGUAUGUUGAGAACAAACAAACCAUGCGUCUCCAAGAGAACAGAAUUUAAACGAAUAAUGUUACAUCUAUCCGGGAGUUGCGGAAGAUUUACGGGCUAACUAGGAAACGAGUUGACAUGGCUGCCAGCCCGUGUGGUAUGCGCAGCUAUUUUAUGAUGCAAGGAAAAACCAGAAGGCAACUCAGUUUUUCCAAAGGGAGACGAGGUUCACUUUUUUGCAUCAUUCUUCUUUUCUUGAUCAAGUCCAAGUAUAUAUGCUACAGUUGGUGUUUUGAGUUGACUCUUGAGUUGAUUUGAAGGAAAGCAACGUGCAACUUGAACACGAGCAUAAUGAAUCUCGAUCACAUGCGUUACUUAGAGAUCCUGAAUUGGGGAUGAUCUUUCAUACUGAGAAUGAGGUGCAAGAGUACCUACAUCAAAUAUGCUAAGGCAAAAUGCUUUGCUGUGACGAGAAGAAGCUCAAACCAUGACAAAGAUGGACAACGGAAGUACCUUACACUUUCCCACUCUUGCUAUGGCAAGACCCAGUCCAACUUAAGUAGUAUGUCGAGGCCCAAAUCCAAUUGGCGAGAUAGGAUGUAAAGAUAAAAUUAACAUCUUCUCAAAAUAAAAGAAGAAGCUAAAAUUAACAUCUUCUCAAAAAAAGAAGAAGCUAAAAUUAACAUUACUCGUGGUCCUAAUGGGAAACUUUAUAUUUUGACGGUCAUUUUGGAUCAUAAUCACACACGAAGUUCACAUAAAUCUUGGUUCACAUACAACAAUGAGUUGGAUUUACAUGUCAAUUGAAGGCUUGAGCUGAAUGAUCGGGCCAGAAUAUGACUAAACAGGAAUGUCAAUUCUUUUGUUGUGGCAGGAGAUGGUCAUGCAAACCUAACUUUUGGUGAGAAAAAUUGUUGCAAUUUUCUAGAGAAAACAAGAAGGUUAAAGCUUGGCAGUGGUGAUGACGAAGCAGUGUGUCUGUUUUGUCAAAAUGCAAUCCAACACUCCAUUUUUUGGCUUGAUGCAAGAAGUAGAGCAGUGUGACUCUUUUCAUGAUGUCAUUACUUUUGAAACAACAUAGUUGAUGAACAAAUAUGAUAUGUCUUUUGUUUGUUUUGUCAAACUCAAUCAUCACGGCCAAUCGGUGUCAUGGAUUAUGAGUCCAAGGACUAAUCAAGACUAGUCUAUGAGUCUCAACUUCAGGGCCGACUAGACUUCAGUGUCGACUAGUCUAUGAGUCGAAACUCCAGUAUCAAUUCGUGUCGAUUAGUCACGCUUAGUCUACGAGUCUCAACCUCAGAACGACUUGUCGACUCAUCGACUCGUAAACCUUGAUCGGUGUUGCUAGGAUGUGCUUUAUUAUCAGAUGAACAUUUCUUUGGUUACUUCAAGCAUGCCUUACAUGUAUGUCAAAUCGUCAACCAAAAGAUAUCAUAACUGACCAAGCAAAAGCAAUUCAGAAUGGUGUGGAUUUUUUUUCCAGAAUCUCGCUCCAUAUGGUGUUUGUGACAUAUAAGGAAAAGGAUAUCCGAGAAGUUAGGUGGAUACGAUGAAUAUGAUCACAUCAAGGUUGUCGUCGGCACGGCAAUUUAUGACUCAUUAACAAUUAUGUAGUUUGAAGUUGGUUAUGCUUGUGAAGUAUAAUCUUGGUGACAAUGAAUGGUUUAAAGGGUUUUAUGACAUUAGCACCAUCAGGAUAAUAACUCGGAUUCAAAAUUUAAAGGUCAGAUUAUCUGGCUAGAAAAAACGGAUUAUCAUGCUGCGUCAUAUACUAGUAAUUAAUACCAUAUCCUAUUAGUCGGCCUCAAAUUCAGAUCGGAUUGUUGUCGUGUGUCAAAAAUCCUACUCCCUCCGUUCGGAAUUACUUGUCGCAGAAAUGGAUGUAUCUAGACGUAUUUUAUUCUAGAUACAUCCAUUUCCGAGACAAGUAAUUCCGAACGGAGGGAGUAUGAAAAUGGAUCCGCGAACGGUUUCGAACGGAAAUUGUCCUAACCGUUUUGACCUUACAAGGAAGAGGACCGGACAUGUCCGCGGACAAACGGGUACCAAAUUUGAGAUUUGUUGUGUACACCCGAAGCGUGCGCGCAGCAUUUCCACCGCUGAUUGACUCGCCGCCCGCUCGUGUUCCCGCCUCCGCCUCCCUCCCUCCCCUCCGCUCUGCCUCCGCCUCCGCCCCCCUCCAAAAUCCCACCACCUCGCCACCGCUGGUCGCCACCCAUGGCGCGGCUUCACCCGCCGCUACCUCGCCACCGCUGGUCGCCAUGGCGCGGCGUCACCCCGCCGCCACCUCAGCCAAGCGCGGCGCCGCCCCUCCAAACCCUAGUCCGCCCCCUCCGCCCGCCGACGGAUCGAUUCCGCUCCUCCACGCGGCGAGCCGCGGCGACCUCCGCCUCUUCAAGAGUACGUGGGCGAUUCCGGGCGGGUUUUGUUUGGAUCUGGGACCGGGAGGCACUGACUUGCUCGUUCGUCGAGUCGCAGGGCUGGUGAGAGAUCUGGAUAAGGGCAGGGGCCGUCCCAGGGAGGUGGUGGAGGCGGCCAAGGACCAAGGUCUCGUGGCGCUGCACUGCGCUGGCGGGAAGGGAAGGCUACGGGUGUGCAGGUACCUGGUCGAGGAGCUAGGGGUCGAUGUGGACGCCGUCGACGAUGGAGGUGCGUUUAAUUUGCCUCUAAACUGUAAAUGUGUCUGAACUGUACUCCUAUAUGGCUUGCGUUCAGAAUUGGGCUAUAGGAAACUGUAUAUUGACCAGCAAUUUACAACCGUCAUGCUAUUUUGUGAAUCAGAUGCAUAUAGACACGUUUUAGUGUGUUCGUUCACUCAUUUCAGUCCGCAUGUAUGUACUUCAUACUGAAAUAUCCAAAACAUCUUAUAUUUGUCAACUGAGGGAGUAGAAAACAAAGUGUUAUGUUAUGACACAUUUAUGUAUUAACUUUGUACAUUCUGACAUUCUCUAAGAGGAAACGUCUUCAUUUUGAUAGGUCGAACACCUCUGCUUGUGGCAUUGAUUCAUGGAAGCAUGAAUACCGCCAGUUAUCUUCUUGAUGAUGGGGCAGAUCCAGGCAAAGCUGACGACAAAGGGUUCGCCCCACUUCACCAUGCUGCUAAAGCAGGUACUUCUCUGCCAGAACAGCACAUGGCAUUUUUCUUCUAGUGCCUUACAAUACUGUUCCAUUAUGAUGUCUAUGUGUGUUGGAAAGAUGUAGAAGAAGAACUUGUUUGACAAUUUUUUCAUGAUUUUAAUUGUAUGUGAGUAGAAGAACAUUGGUGCCAUUUACAUUUUGUCUUAGAUGAUUCCCUUAGGAUUUAAAAGUUUUCCAUUUUCCCAUAUUCUGCCCUCUUGUCUGUUUUUAACUAUUCCAGGGCAUGCACUUUUAGUUGGUGUGUAUCUUGAUCAUAUUGAAUUUUCCCCAUCACACAAUCAGUUCUACUUUGUAGUAAUUGCCUAUUGGAUUCUCUUUUCAUCUUUUUGCUUUAAUUAGGAGACCGUAAAAUGACGGAACUCUUGCUUGCAAAAGGAGUUUCUGUUGACCCAGUAUCUUCUGAAGGGACACCACUUUAUGCCGCUGCCUUGGAAGGGCAUGAUGAAAUUAUGCAAAUUUUGUUGGAGAACAAUGCGGAUGUAGGUUUAACAACAUACUAUUUCCUACUAAUUUUGGCUAGCUGCAUUGUUUCAUGCUUCGUUUACUUGGCUGUUGUGUUGAGUCCGCUUUACUGCCUUUCUUCAAAAGUUGUGAAGUCUGAGCGCAAUCAGCUAAAUUAGCACAUUUUUUAGCAAUUAUUCAAAAUCAGGCCUUUGUAGCAGUGACUAAGCGCACUCUGUUAGCCCUUCUUUUAGUUCUAGUAAGGCUGCAUUCUCGAAGAGCUCUGGCCAUCUAUGAUUUCUUUACUUCGCAACAAAAAUCUAGCUCCAUGCAUACUCUACACACCAUAUCUUCUUGCAGCUCGCCAGCUCCACUCUACUUGCUUCUUCAAUAUAGGCUCCACGGCAACUUUCUGAAUUUGUAUUCCCUCUAGAAAUUCAUGACGGAAGAUGUUUUUCUUUCAUAUACGUUUACUCCUUUUGGUGCCUCUUGGUGGGUUCAUCUCAUGGCUCUAGCCUACCCAGCUUGCUUGGGAAUAAAAGAUUAAACAGGUGUGCUGUUAUUGUUGUACGUCUACUCCUUUUAAGAGAUACAUGGGACUGAAUUAAAAAGAAAGGUCUAAUUGCUGAAAAUGGCCACUAAAGCAUUAAUGCUCAAUAUAUUAUUCCAGAAACACUUGUUGAUACAUGUUUGCUUUUGCAAUGCUAUUGAUUUUUUCCCUUUUUCUUUAACAGAAGGCCACAGGACAACAAAUGCAUUCUUCCUUCUAUUUGUUGGCCCUUUCCUACAUCUUACUUCAGUAUAGUAAAUCGUGUGUAAUCUGUUUUUGCCAGUGUAACAAGAAACUACCUGGUGGUGUUGACACCCCUCUUCUCGUUGCUAUAACUGCUCCCUCACUGAAAUGUGUCAAGCUCCUGGUUGAGGUAUCGUGCCUGCACUACCAGAAUAACUGGUUGCGCCGACGGCCUCAUCUAUGCCGACGGCCCCCGUCGGCAUAGAUGGACCUAUGCCGACGGCCAAGGACAGGCCGUAGGCGUAGAAAAGCCGUCGGCAUACAUCCAUCUACCGUCGGCAUAGACGAGGCCGUCGGGACCGCUCGAGAUAUGCCUACGGGGACCGUCGGCAUAGGCUCGGCCGUCGGCAUAGCCCGGGCCCACCUACCCGGUCAGCGCUGACCGUUUGACGGUGUUGAAACUACGCCGACGGGAGGUAACGGCGGCCGUCGGCAUAUCUAUGGCAGAGGUAUGCCUACGGCAUAGCCGUCGGCAUAGACCUGGCCCAUGCCCCUCUGCCACGUCAUCGAUCCGUGUGCGCAGCUAUGCUGACGGCCUCGCCGUCGGCAUAUGUUUAUUUAGUUUUAUUUUUAAUUUUUCUUUAUACUAUCUAUGGCAAAGGUAUGCCUACGGCAUAGCCGUCGGCAUAGGCCGCUCUGCCACGUCAUCGAUCCGUGUGCCAUGCCACGUCAUCGAUCCGUGAGACUGCAUCUCCGUGUGUGCACAGACUUGCCGUCGGCAUACAUUUAUUUUACUUUAUUUUUUUAUUUUUACUUUAUUUUUUUAUUUUUACUUUAUUUUAAUUUUUGUUUUUCCAUAAGAUAAUUAUGCCUUAUCUAAAAAAACAUACCCCGAUGGUAUAUCGAUUGCCCUCCAUUACGAACGUCGCUAUCGCCGUGUCAUGGAGGGGGGGAAACGGUCGACACGGAGGGAAUUCUGGUUGGUGGGGGAUUCGGGGUGUAGCUAUGUCACCGAAACAUCGCACGGGUCCUGAUGCAUAUGUGAAAGUGUUCAGGCAUGCGUAGAUGCCCGUCUUGGGGCUCCGCGGUGUGCCCCCCUGCACGCAAGGCAGUGCCGCCGUCACUUGGAGGGGGCCAAACCCCGGAGACGCGUGCCGCCUCUUCGGACAUGCUACCACACCGUACGGCAUGUAUGAGGUCCCGGUGCGAUGCUCGGGUGGCAUUGCUACCCCCGUAGGCCCCCCGUCCCGCCUAACCCUGUAGCGUUUGACCACGGGAUCUAGUCCUUUGACUUUGCAUGGACGGGCUUUGAGCAGUGGACCUAUCCACCCGGUUGUGUUAGGUAAGCCCAUAGGAACACUUUGGAGCAACAUCCGGGCCAGACCCACAGCAAGAUCCCCUUCGUGUAGACCCGGCGCAUCCGUUUCCCCCCUCCAGGUGCCGGCGGCGGCACCGUCCGUGAGGGGGGGCACACCCCGGAGACGUGUGCCGGGCGUUUGCACCCGCCACAACACUUCCAGACUUGUGAGAGGCCGCCUACGCAAGAUUUGGCGGCAUGCUAGCCCCCGGAGGCCGCCGACCACAGUCGUAGACACGCAAAGAGCAAUCCGCAUAGAGGGAAUUGUUUAGAUACUACUCCAUCACGAACAAUUAUGAAAAAUUACCAUCAGUCCUACAACACAUGUGCCCGCGUCAUGUAAAAAACUCAUGAUUUUAUCGCGCUCCGAGUAUUUAAUAAUAUUCACGCCGCAUCGUUACCGUAGAACGUCUACUACCGUGUCAUCGCCGUUCGAGAGGGGGGGCACACCCCGGAGACGCGUGCCGCCUCUUCGGACAUGCCACCACACCACCCCGCAUGUAUUGGGGGCCCGGUGCGAUGCUUGGGUGGCAUUGCUACCCCCCCCCCCCCAGGGCUCCCGUCCCGCCUAACCCUGUAGCGUUUGACCACGGGAUCUAGCCCUUUGACUUUGCACGGGCGGGCUUUGAGCAGUGGACCUAUCCACCCGGUUGUGUUAGGUAAGCCCAUAGGAACACUCUGGAGCAACAUCCGGGCCAGACCCACAGCAAGAUCCCCUCCGUGUAGACCCGACGCGUCCGUUUCCCCCCUCCAGGUGCCGGCGGCGGCACCGUCCGUGAGGGGGGGGGCACACCCCGGAGACGUGUGCCGGGCGUUUGCACCCGCCACCACACUUCCAGACUUGUGAGAGGCCACCUACGCAAGAUUUGGCGGCAUGCUAGCCCCCGGAGGCCGCCGACCACAGUCGUAGACACGCAAAGAGCAAUCCGCAUAGAGGGAAUUGUUAAGAUACUACUCCAUCACGAACAAUUAUGAAAAAUUACCAUCAGUCCUACAACACAUGUGCCCGCGUCAUGUAAAAAACUCAUGAUUUUAUCGCGCUCCGAGUAUUUAAUAAUAUUCACGCCGCAUCGUUACCGCAGAACGUCUACUACCGUGUCAUCGCCGUUCGUGAGGGGGGGGCACACCCCGGAGACGCGUGCCGCCUCUUCGGACAUGCCACCACACCACCCCGCAUGUAUGGGGGCCCGGUGCGAUGCUUGGGUGGCAUUGCUACCCCCCAGGGCCCCCGUCCCGCCUAACCCUGUAGCGUUUGACCACGAGAUCUAGCCCUUUGACUUUGCACGGACGGGCUUUGAGCAGUGGACCUAUCCACCCGGUUGUGUUAGGUAAGCCCAUAGGAACACUUUGGAGCAACAUCCGGUCCAGACCCACAGCAAGAUCCCCUUCGUGUAGACCCGACACGUCCGUUUCCCCCCUCCAGGUGCCGGCGGCGGCACCGUCCGUGAGGGGAGGCACACCCCGGAGACGUGUGCCGGGCGUUUGCACCCGCCACAACACUUCCAGACUUGUGAGAGGCCGCCUACGCAAGAUUUGGCGGCAUGCUAGCCCCCGGAGGCCGCCGACCACAGUCGUAGACACGCAAAGAGCAAUCCGCAUAGAGGGAAUUGUUCAGAUACUACUCCAUCACGAACAAUUAUGAAAAAUUACCAUCAGUCCUACAACACAUGUGCCCGCGUCAUGUAAAAAACUCAUGAUUUUAUCGCGCUCCGAGUAUUUAAUAAUAUUCACGCCGCAUCGUUACCGCAGAACGUCUACUACCGUGUCAUCGCCGUUCGUGAGGGGGGGGGGCACACCCCGGAGACGCGUGCCGCCUCUUCGGACAUGCCACCACACCACCCCGCAUGUAUGGCGGCCCGGUGCGAUGCUUGGGUGGCAUUGCUACCCCCCCAGGGCCCCCGUCCCGCCUAACCCUGUAGCGUUUGACCACGGGAUCUAGCCCUUUGACUUUGCAUGGACGGGCUUUGAGCAGUGGACCUAUCCACCCGGUUGUGUUAGGUAAGCCCAUAGGAACACUCUGGAGCAACAUCCGGGCCAGACCCACAGCAAGAUGCCCUCCGUGUAGACCCGACGCGUCCGUUUCCCCCCUCCAGGUGCCGGCGGCGGCACCGUCCGUGAGGGGGGGCACACCCCGGAGACGUGUGCCGGGCGUUUGCACCCGCCACAACACUUCCAGACUUGUGAGAGGCUGCCUACGCAAGAUUUGGCGGCAUGCUAGCCCCCGGAGGCCGCCGACCACAAUCGUAGACACGCGAAGAGCAAUCCACAUAGAGGGAAUUGUUCAGAUACUACAUCAUCACGAACAAUUAUGAAAAAUUACCAUCAGUCCUACAGCACAUGUGCCCGCGUCGUGUAAAAAACUCAUGAUUUUAUCGCGCUCCGAGUAUUUAAUAAUAUUCACGCCGCAUCGUUACCGCAGAACGUCUACUACCGUGUCAUCGCCAUUCGUGAGGGGGGGGGCACACCCCGAAGACGCGUGCCGCCUCUUCGGACAUGCCACCACACCACCCCGCAUGUAUGGGGGCCCGGUGCGAUGCUUGGGUGGCAUUGCUACCCCCCCCCCAGGGCCCCCGUCCCACCUAAUCCUGUAGCGUUUGACCACGGGAUCUAGCCCUUUGACUUUGCACGGACGGGCUUUGAGCAGUGGACCUAUCCACCCGGUUGUGUUAGGUCAGCCCAUAGGAACACUUUGGAGCAACAUCCGGGCCAGACCCACAGCAAGAUCCACGGGAUCAUUACCUUGUGGUACAUUUCACCGUUUUGUGUUGACAUGCCAUUAUGCUUUCAUUAUGUAGUUGUUACCAAAUUGGUGUUAUGGAAAAGACGAGUCCUGGGCGGCAUUGGUGGAUCUUUGGUGUGAUUAGGCUGGAGCCUGGGCGGCUAUGAGAGUCAAAAGCAAGGCUAACCGAGGGAAGGAGGGAGUACAUGCUCAGGGAAACCGAAACCACUAUCUCCACAAGGCAGUUAAUGUAUGACUAACCCCAUUAUACAUUCUUCUUCUUCUAUUUACCAUUACUUUCUUAUGUAUGACUAACCUCUGUUUGGUGGUGCAGGAGGAGAAACUGAAACGGCCGCUCUCACACAUGCAGGCGUGGGAGAUCGCCCAUACGCGGAAGGACCCCAAGCCUGGCGAGCCUAAGUACUACGGCAAGAAGACCGCGCAUAGGAAGAAGGCCUACUCCGAUGGGUAUCUGGCGUUACAUCCUGACACACCUGACCCCAUUGCGGCGGAUCUGGACGAAAGGGUGGUGGUGGGCAUGGGGCCGAAGGAGCACGGUCGGGAGGCGGUUCUCGAUGCUGUGAUCACUCCUACUAUCUCCUACACACAGCUCCAUCGGAUCGACCCGACCCUGAGCCAGCGCACGAGCACGCCCAUGAGCAGUGCACCGUCACUGUCCCUCUUUCAGGAGCAGCAAACUGUAAGUAUUUUCCCUUUUAUCUUCAUUGCUCCCUUUAUUUUCCGCAUUUAGUAGUUUUAUGAGUUUCAUCAUGUCAUACUGUAGGCCUACAUGGAGUACACACGCCAGGAGACCAUGGCGUUGGCACGACCGCCUUCAUGCAUACCAUCAGCAGAGGGAUCGCCAGAUGCAGCACGCUUUUCAGGAAAUGGCGGCCGGCAGGUGUCCUCAAUGGCCAUCAGCAGAGGGUCCUCCAGCACAACCAACGUUGCUGACCUUUGAGGAGUUUGUGGCACUGGCACUGGACGCUGGCCCCUCGCCGGUUAGUUCAUCCCCAAUCUAUUCACUCAAAGCAUAUCAUGCCUUUCAACACAGUCAUAUAUCCCGUUAAUAUGUCUUUUCAACAUUCAGGGAACCGGUGGAUCAACCGUUGGCGGUGGUCUUCGCAGCACUCCCGAGUCACGGAGCCCGACCACUCCGAUCCAUGGAGGUGGAGGCGGUCUUGGCGGUAGCGCUGCCGCUAGCACUGACGACCUGGGCUUCAGCGGUCUUGGCGGUGACGACCUCUGCGGUGCUCGACGUCCUGGCGCUUAAGCCUUUUGGUUACUUGUGUGCUUAUGCUUAUGUAUCUUUAGAUGACUUGUGUGUGGUGAUGAUGAUAAACUUGUGGUCUUUGAUGGUCCUUUAGAUGACUUGCGUGCUUCUUUAUAUGCUUAUCCUUAUCUUUAUGUUGAUUAUGAUGAUGCUUAUGCAUAUAUUGUUGUGAUGGUGACGGAUGAUACUUAGAUGUGUUCUAUAUGUCUAUUUCCAUCAUAUAUAUCUGCUGAUAUGUGCUGUAUAUCUGAAUUGAAUUGAUUUGAAAACAAACAGAAAAAAGAAAAAAAAAUAAAAAUAAAAACUAUGCUGGCCUGAGCGCCCAGUUGCUGACGCGUGGCAUCUAUGCCGACGGCUAGUCGGCAUAGAUUUAAACUAAGCCGACGGCUAGGCCGUCGGCAUAGAUGCCACGUGUCAUCAACUGGGCUCUCCUGGGGCAAGGCUAUGCCGACGGCCUAGCCGUCGGCAUAGAUUCAAACUAAGCCGACNNNNNNNNNNNNNNNNNNNNNNNNNNNNNNNNNNNNNNNNNNNNNNNNNNNNNNNNNNNNNNNNNNNNNNNNNNNNNNNNNNNNNNNNNNNNNNNNNNNNNNNNNNNNNNNNNNNNNNNNNNNNNNNNNNNNNNNNNNNNNNNNNNNNNNNNNNNNNNNNNNNNNNNNNNNNNNNNNNNNNNNNNNNNNNNNNNNNNNNNNNNNNNNNNNNNNNNNNNNNNNNNNNNNNNNNNNNNNNNNNNNNNNNNNNNNNNNNNNNNNNNNNNNNNNNNNNNNNNNNNNNNNNNNNNNNNNNNNNNNNNNNNNNNNNNNNNNNNNNNNNNNNNNNNNNNNNNNNNNNNNNNNNNNNNNNNNNNNNNNNNNNNNNNNNNNNNNNNNCCGACGGCCAGGCCGUCGGCAUAGCCUUGCCCCAGGAGAGCCCAGUUGUUGCCACGUGGCAGGCCUAUGCCGACGGCCUGGCUGUCGGCUUUAGUUUAAAUCUAUGCCGACGGUCCUGGUCUCAUGGGUUGCUCUUGCGACUCACAGGACGACUCGCCGCCGCCGCCAUAGUGAGCGUACUCACGGCACUCCUCCCUCGCCGCCUGCGUCCCUUCCUUCUCCUUCUCACCUCUCCACUUGAUCCCGCGGCACCUCCCGGCCUCCACGCGCUGCUGGUCCCUGUUCGUCUCGAUCUGGUGACUCAGACGCUUGUGGCGGCGCUUUGGCAGAUCGGCCGCUUCAUCGGGCUCCCAUUGUUGUGCCUCGGGCCAGGUCAGGGCCCCUGCCCACGUAUGGUCUGGCCGCAGCCAGUUCGUCGGAUCUGACGGCGGCUGGGUCUGGCUAGCCGUUGGUAUCUGGAUUGCACGGGGAUCCGACCCGUGCAGCGCGGCGGCGGCGGCGGCAGAUCCUCUAAGGCGUUGAUCUGGAGGGCGGCGGCGCCGCCCGCGACGGCUUCUCCAGCGACGGUGUUGCGGGGCGGCGGUGGCCGGUUAGUGGCUUGAUGGGAUCGUGUAAUGGUUUGGCCCUAGCGCUCUUCUUUCACCAAGUCGUCUUUCUGCCGGAUGUCGACCUCUUGGAUCUGUCCGCUGAUGAGUUCCGGUAUUCCCCAUAGGGGAUCUACACGGAUUGGCGAAUUUUGCCCCUGGAUAACUUUAUUGGAAAGGCUUCGGUCACGCGCGCUCAUAUUAUCAUCCAACGUGGCCUGAAGAGGGUGCGACGCGAAGCUUCGAUUUCUUAUUGGUGUCAUGAGACAUGUCUAAGUCAAGAUUCCCAAGGCAUUGAUAGAGUGGAGAAAGUCAUGGCAACUGCGACUGGGAUCUUGAAGCUUUGGUGGAAGGGUGUAUUGGAUGCGAUGAAGACUCUGUGCCAGGUGCCAGGUGUUUGGUGACUUGCAAUAGCGGCCUCGGCAAGUGGGGGUGGCAGCACUGGAGGACUGCAUUUUUGGUGGUGCUCCUCGAGUACCGAGUCUCGAUUCCAAUGGUGAAAACCCAAGGUUUGGCUUUUAUUGGUUGUACCUGGCAAUGGCCGUGUUUAAGGCAUUGUUUUUGGGUGAACUCAGACUUUUCGAGGGUGAAAACCCAAGAUCUUCGAUCGGGCAACAACAACGCUUGUGCAUUGUUUCCUUCUUGAAGGCGUUGCUUUUGGAGAACCUCUUUUGUAAUCUGAGUAUUGUCUUUGGUGGUGGUUAAAGUGCUGUUGAUGCUAGUGAUUGAUCACCAUCACGGAGUCUUUUUUUCUUCUGUUCUUUUUAUUUUCUUUUUUGGCUGUGUGUAUCCUGGUUGCCUUUGGGCAUCUUGUUGGUACAAAGACAGGGUGUAAUUGAUAUCUUCACGAUAUUAAUAUAUUCCCUUUGUCGAAUUGUUUGGCGUGGGGGUAAUUCCAUUAGUCGACCAUAAUCAUGGCUCAUAACGCCAUGUACAAUGCAAGGCGCUUGGUGGAGGUGCUUUGUAAAAUAAACCUGGUUUUGUUCAAGCACCGGUGUUUGUCCCUAUAUCAGGGGCGCUUAAUUAAGUGUCUAUCCUCUACAAAUAAGCAUCAAUGCUUAGAAAAUUUGGUUUAUUUUUCUAAGCACCUCCCAUAAGCACCCUACAUUGUACAAGGCUUAACAACCAUUGUUCUAGGAGUAGGGUGUUAUCUCCAGAACAUGGCGCCGGAACUUGGGUAAAACCUCUUAUGUGUGAAAUCCCGUACCUAGAUCAUCCAGGUGCGCCUCGCUUGCACAAAACCCACAAAUAAUGAGUAUUUCCAUGAAAUCCCCGCGAUAAUUGACGCCCACGGGCAAGCGCGCGCGGGAGGAGUGGUCUAGUUUGGAUCUCCUCUGGCAAUCGGCGGUGGGCUUAGGCCCAGGCAGCUUGUGCGUUUUGAUAUGUUCCAUUUCGUCGCCGAUGACUCUGCAUGCAUCCUGCCUCUGCAGUGCUUCUUGAGGGCAUGACGACCUUUGCUGGGAGCAUGCACUUCAUCGCCAAGCGAUCCGACAUAAUGUGCCUUCAACAAUCUUAUUCGCUCUGACUGGCGGGGUCGAGUCUCAGGCAUUCCGUGGGAUCUCCACUAGCGAUGCACGUCGACAAGGCUGCUUCCCAGCUUGUUGGCAUGGUCAAUUCCAACUUCAUUUUGCCAUUCUUGGAUUCUGAGUCUGGCUGGCAUGAGAGCUCAUAUAGUUCCCACUUCCGUGGCGGAGGUGUACAUGACCAACAACAAUGUUGGCGCGGCUGCGACAAACACAGUGGCCUGAGAGGCGGUGGAUGAUCAUGCAUACCCUCGUCGAGGGCGACUAGGAAAAAAAAAAGGAUGUCAAGGCCUCGCGCACGGUUGUUUUUGCUGAGAAGGAGUAAAUUGCACAGAAGUAUCACAAUUGGGGCAUUGAAAGCAGAUUGGUACCAAGUUUGGUAAUUUUUACAUGUCAGUAUCAAGUCUGGGGCUACACGUUACAAAAAGGUCUAAAUCGCGUAUAAACGCGUAUUGACAGUAUAUCUGACCGGCAGGGCCCGCCUGUCAGCUCCUGACGUGGCAUUUUUUUUGCAGAAACCCCCCCACGGUGUCGCUCCGCGCCCGCCUCGCCGCCCUCGCCCUCGCCCUCUCCCCGUGGCGACCUCCUACCUCAGCCGGCGCGCGCACGACCCCAGCGCGCCGGUAGCGCCUUCUGACUGGUGCUCCCGCUUCGCCUCCCCCGCGGCCGCCGCCCCGCCCUCCGCCACGCCGCCGCCGCCGCCCCUCUUCACGCUCGACGACCGCUUCGCCGCCGCCGACUUCUCGCCCGACCCCACCGCCUCCGACCUGCUCCCCGUCGCCUCCUCCCCCUCCCCCCGCGCCGGGGCGGGCGCCGGCAGCCGCUCGCCCUCAUGGGACCGCUCCCGCGGCAAGGCCUCCGCCCCCGGAUCCCCCAUGGACGGGGUCGUCGAGCCACCGCCCCGCAAGGAGCUGCUCGCGCUGCCCCCGCCGUCCAGCCCCUGCACUCCUCCUCCCCCGACGGCGACGGCCGUGACCCCGGCGACGGAGCCGGCGGCUCCGGCCAGCGAACGGAAGGCAGAUGGCGAGGAGUGGGUCACUCUAUUCGGGUGAGGAAACCAUGAUGCUCUUCUUUACUUGUUUUUUCAGGAAGCUAUAGCCUGCCGCAUGCGCAUGGUAGAUUCAGUUCUGCAAGUAGUAGUAUCUUGGUGACCGCUGGACAUGUAUGUAGCCAUGGAGCUGAAAAUAUUGCUGCUUUGCGUAGGUUCAUGGCCCUGGCAUGUGCUUGCUCCUGUGUAUGUCAAUGAGCAACAGCAAAAUCGAUCAUUUAGUAGCAUAUCGCUCUUAGACCUUAGUGCUUGUCCUAGCAAGUGGAUAUACCGGUUUCAUGACACCAUUGAUCAUCUUAUAUGUUCGUGGAAUUAAUGGUUGUCUACUUGUUCAAUUCACACGUUGUAUGGCUGCACUCAGUUAAAGAGAUGCCUUUUCGUUCAAUUUUAAGAUGGAUUUAGCCUAAAGGUUGCAUUCUCUUUAUUCCAGUUUCAGUGAUACUAAAUGCUGUGGUGUAUGAUUUGGCUAUCUUUUGAACAUGAAACAGAUAGUGAAGUUGGUUUUGGCCUGUUGAGUAUGUUUUUCAUCAUCACAUGUUCUAGUCUGGAUAAUCUGUCUUUGUGCAUUCAUGCAUGAUGUGAAUUUUUAUAGGUUUCUCUGGCCUGUGAUUGCUGGGAUAAGAUUUAUUUAAAGUGAUUUCUGAUGUCUGGAACCUAGCUCUUUUCUUAACAAAUGUUUAUCUCAGUUCCGCUAUGCCCGUGCAUCACAUGAUAGGUUUCUGCAUUAUGGUGCGACAAUUAAUUCCUCUGGCCUUCCAUCUUAAACUGACAAUUGUCUUCACAGCACUCUUACGAUGCCAGGAAAGCCCUCCAAAAGAAUGGUAUCCAACUAUGCAGUGGCGUCAUAAUUGGAGUAAAGCAUAUUGAUCCAGUGCACCGACAGCAGCUGGAUGAUAGGCUCGCUGGAAUCAAUCAAGGAGGCUUCAUGGUCUCCCUGCCUUCGAAAUCACUUGUCCUGAAGAGCAGGACAGGUGCAUCAAACCAGUUGGGGGCCUUGCCUGUUGGCUGUUGUAACUUUGUGUUCUGGUGGGUGCUGUCAUGAGCAAUGGCUCUGGAUGAAGGAUGAAACUGAGAUCUCAAUAUGUAUUUAUUUUGUCCGUUGUAAUCUACAUGAGCUCUGAUAUAUUUGAGAAUGUUUUUUUAAGAAAUGCCAUCAUGGCCACUAUAUUGAAUUGGUAAUAUGGUUACAUCGUUUACAAUGGCAUUCACCAGGAAAGCUGGGGGUUCAUCGACCCAAUUACAAGAAGCAUUAUCGUCAUAAGCAAAUUUCGCUAAAGAAUGAGCUACCUCACUUGUAUCACAGGCAUAGUGUAUAAAUUCAGCCGAUCCUAUCAAUCUAUCAUCCCAGCCAAGAUGAAACACUAUAGAUAGCCAAAGCUUCACCCCAAAUUCUAUAUCUUGUCCUGCACAGGCAUUGAUAAUUUGAAUCGAAUCCGACUUGGUCUUAUUGAGUGUAGCAGAAAACUGCAUUUUUCUUCUGAUUUGAUUUGAGAGCGUUCGUAUUGGAUCAAGUGCGGUCAUAUAGAACGUUCAUUCUAAUUUUCAAUCAGGGUCAUCCGCGUGCAUUCCCAAAUAACAUUGCUCAAAAAACCUCAACUGUAAUGGGAUAUAGAGAGAUUUGCAACACACCAGAUGCAGCAAAGAUUAUACUGAGAUUAAUACAGCAUCGCAUCGGAUCACACGGCAUCGCACGCACCCAGCAAGAUCGACACAAACGUACAGACGAAGACUGAAGACAACACGAAGACUGAUGGCUACAAAAGAAGCAGUAGGCAGAACCACGAGGAGUGGCGGAUCGGUGAUACGACGGGGCCCUGGGGCGAUGCCCUAGUCUAGACGCGGCCCUCCCAGAGGCACGGCUGGUCGUCGGAGCAGAGCGCGUGCGGCGGCGGGGCGAGGCCCAGCGCGGCGGCGCGCUGCCAGCGCUGGGCGGGGGUGACGCCGAGGCAGGGCCCGUAGCGCAUGUCCAUGUCGAACUCCCUGGCCUUCCUCUCCGCGUUCUCCGCCUCCUCCCUCCUCGCGUCGGCGCCGUCGCCGUGAUCUGCCGCAAAAGCAACAGCAGAUUGAAAAUAAAUAAACACCAGAUCGAUCGAUCGAGCGGUCAAAUCCGCGUUGGGCGUAUGAAUCGGCGGAGCUCGAAUUGGGCGUACGGCGGCGUACCUGGCGUCGGGCGCGCCGCCGCUUGCUUCUGGUGGUGGUGGUGCGCCGGCUUCUUGGAGACGCCGCUGGUGGGCUUGGCGGCCGCUGCGCCGGAGUGGGCCUUCCGCUGCCGGAAGAAGGACUUGACGUCGCCGCCGCUCCUCAUGGCUCUCUCUAUCUCUCUCGCCGGCGGCGCGAUCUCUCUGUUGUAUUUCAUUUCUCUCUCUCGCCGGCGGCGCGAUCUCUCGCCAGCGGCGCGAUCUCUCGCCGGCGGGGUCAGCACCACCGGCGCGCUGGGGUCGUGCGCGCGCCGGCUGAGGUAGGAGGCCGCCACGGGGAGAGGGCGAGGGCNNNNNNNNNNNNNNNNNNNNNNNNNNNNNNNNNNNNNNNNNNNNNNNNNNNNNNNNNNNNNNNNNNNNNNNNNNNNNNNNNNNNNNNNNNNNNNNNNNNNNNNNNNNNNNNNNNNNNNNNNNNNNNNNNNNNNNNNNNNNNNNNNNNNNNNNNNNNNNNNNNNNNNNNNNNNNNNNNNNNNNNNNNNNNNNNNNNNNNNNNNNNNNNNNNNNNNNNNNNNNNNNNNNNNNNNNNNNNNNNNNNNNNNAAAAAAAAUGCCACGUCAGCAGCUGACAGGCGGGCCCUGCCGGUCAGAUACACUGUCAAUACGCGUUUAUACGCGAUUUAGACCUUUUUGUAACGUCUAGCCCCAGACUUGAUACUGACAUGUAAAAAUUACCAAACUUGGUACCAAUCUGCUUCCAAUGCCCUAAUUAUGAUACUUCUGUGCAAUUUACUCGCUGAGAAGUAACGUCUCACUGAGGAAAGAGCGGCCCUUGGCACACAAGAGUGUGAGCUGCCGUCGGCGUUGGCGCGUGGGACACGGCGGACGCGCCUGCUAUGGGGUGCGUAGCUCCAUGAGAAGCCAGGAGACAGAGGGCGCGCACAUUCAUCGUACACCUGCCAAGAAGCCGUUGUGCGCUUGCCAACUUCCUCUUACUCGUCGCGUUGCUGUGAGUAACUGUGGAGCACUAGAACAUGGCCAUGUCAUCACAAUGCCUAUUGGCUUCCAGGUCAGUACAGUGCAUCACCUUGGACUCGUCUAAUCCAAGUCGAUCCGACAAUCGCCGGCCUAAUGCGCCUAACGACACCAAUUGAAUCCGCACGGAGCGACAUCAGCUUUGCCCUCCUCGGGGCCGGGGACCAGGACCUUGCGACAUGUGGGAUGACAUCGAGGCUAUCCGAGUGGCCAAGGUGUGUACCAAUCGCCUUGGAGAUGAGGUUGGUUGGUCGUCCGGCUUAGGUCACUUGAUCUUAUGUGCUUCAGUUGGCGCAUAUGGAUCAAGCCUUUUCUAGAGUGAUUCUAGAUACUUGGCUUGCUAGCAACAUUGGUGGAGGCAACGAGCAUGUUGCCCUCCGUACACCGGUAGAAAAAAGCCCUUUAAUCCCGGUUCGCAACAGCCUUUAGUCCCGGCUGUGCAACCGGGACUAAAUAUGCGCGACUAAAGACCCCCCUUUAGUCGCGCCUCUUACGGACCGCGACUAAAGGCUUUAGUCUCGGUUCUUGUGGCUGACCGGGACUAAAGGCCCGUCCACGUGGGCGCCAGUGGUCCGUCGGGGCGGAGGAUCUUUAGUCCCGGUUCUCGUGGCCAACCGGGACUAAAGGCCUCCUCCGCAGGUUUAGGGUUUUAGCCCCCCUAAACCUGGUUUCUUUUUAGUUUGGAGUGUUUUAUUUCUUUUAUAUUUUAUUUUGUGUUUUAUUUUAAUUUUGAUAAAGUUUCAGUACACAUAUUCUACGCUACUAUAUACAUGCAUAUGAAAUUUCAAACAAGAAGAAUUCAAGAGGAAUAUAUAAUAUAUAUUCAAUCUCGGGUGACCAUAUACAACUUCGAACAAGUUUCCAUACACAAUUAGGAUGGAUGACCAUAUACAACUUCGAACAAGUUUCAAUCUCGGGUAUGCAUAUAAAUUUCUUCGUCCUCGGUAUAGUGUUCUCCUUUAGGAUUGAUGACUUCCCUCAUGAAAAAUCCUGCUAAUUCUUCUUGAAUUGGUCGGAAGCGAGCUUCUGGACUAAGCCUCCUCCGCAAGUUAUCCGUCGCGUUCCGCACGCUAUCCGAUGCCUUCCGCUCAGAGGUGUGUCUCCGGAUGUUCUCACAAACAUAGUAUCCACAUAGAUUGGUCCCCGGUGGCUGCUUAUCCACAUUAACUAACCUUCUGAAACCUAGCUCAUGUUUGAAUUCAUCGACAAUUUCUUCUGAGAACCGUCUCCAAACCCUACAGGGCAAAGAAAAUUAAAUGAGCAAGGGAGUUAUUAGUUACUUGAUAUUAGGAAAUGAACGAAAGAGACCGAUCGAUAUAGAGCUCAAAUGAUUGAAAAUAAUUACUUUUGCAGCAUUUUUCUCAUGUCGGCCCAACGCUUUGGAUCCGAAUCCAUAGAGUCCAUGAUUAGAACUAUGGAGGUGUGAAGUUCAAUAUUUAGCAGAAUCCAGUGGAACCUGCGGACACGUUACAUGCACAGUCAUGCAUAACUCAUCGAUUAGACAUACCAUGCAUGGAGUAAACAAAAGAGAAUGGCCACAAGAGAGAAACACUCACCCAAAAUGGUAAGGAAAUAGAAUAUGACUUUUGAGUUGAUGCUUUCUAAGAAACUUGUACAAGUCUUUCUCCACGUCUUCGGGGUGAUGUUGUAACACAUGUCCAUUAACGAUAUGUGGGUCAAUGAACCCAACAUCAUGGAUGUUUCUUAUUUUGCAUUCCCAAAUCUUCAAUCUGCAUAAUAGCGUACGCAACAAUAUAGUUAGGACAAUAUAUAUAUAGUGCAGGCAAUGAAGAACGAGAUGAGGUAGAAAUAAAUCACUUACAGAACGUAGCAACUCAGCAUAGAUUUGUCGAGGUCGCGCAGAUUGAACAGCUGGAACAAUUCACUCAUAUGAACUUGUACAGAGUACCGUUUGGUGUGAUGCUCAUCUGUAACAUCCGCAUAAACAUAUUCUUUGUCGGCCCAUGUUAUGAAUUGCUUGUACCAACGUAGCAGAUUUCGCAUUUGUGGUGGUAGACUCUUUUCCCGCGCAGGCUCGACGAGAGGCCCAUUACGCACAUAUUGUAAUGCUAUCUCACAUACUGGCGCAUCCUCAAGGCCUAAGAAGGCACGAAGAGUCAAACCCAUCUCGGACGCUUGUUUCAUGGCACUCGCUACAGUCAAUCCAAGUGCUGCCGCAGCUGCUAUGAUCUCGGGGUCCUCUUCCGGACCGGCUUUCACUAUGAGCGGGGGGAUCGAUUGUUUCUUCUGCAUCCCGAGCUGGUCAACUUGUUUCCCGCUUUUUUUACUUUCUUCUUUCUCCUCCUUCAAUAUUUUUGCUUGCCUACGAAGUUCAUGUCCAUAGUCGUCAGGCAUAUUCAGCUCGGCUUGGGACGGUGUCGUCAAAAAAUCCUUAGCCCACUUCUUUUGCUUCUCAGUGAAUACUUGCUUGGGCUCAGGCUCUUUUAUCGCCUUCAUAUCCGCCUUCCAUUUCUCAUAAUCAGCAGACGCGGCCAAUUUGGUUUCAGCUUCACUAAGUUCCCAAGGCCUUGGGAGGAGAGGCUUCAGUGAUGGCUCCGGUACCCUUGCGGUCUUAGGUACAUAAGGGUCUGGGUUAAUAGUCCAGGAGCGGGUUUCCUUGCUGUCCGCCUGCUUCUGCUUCUUCGCCGGAGGUGGAUUGGGGGGCGUCGUACCCGCCGGAGGAGGAUUGGGGGGCGUCGUACCCGCCGGAGGUUGUGGAUCGGGGGACGGCGUCGAAUGGCGUGAAGGAGGUGUAGGUGAACCACCACGACCACCACCGCUGCCACCACCGCCACCACCACCACCACCACCAUCGGAGGGGGGUGGACUUGCUAGCCUUGGCGCCUCGCCUGGAAACACUAUGUACUUCUUUUUCCAUAGAAUGAUCUGGCGCUUGACAUCUCCAAGUCUUCUCUCCCCUUCGGGUGUAGGUUUGUCAAUCUCCAGGUCCUCAAACCCUUGGACUAUGUCUUCCACCGUGACACGAGCAUAGCCAUAUGCAAUGGGGUUGUUGUGGUGGAGUGCUCCAGGUGUACAGGGUAAAGCACUGCCGCUAGCUACCUUCGUGGAAACGUUCCCCACGGGAUAAUGCAGAUCACAUUCUUUCAUCUCCUUUACAUCAUCCACGGGGUAGUGAGGCUCCGGUGCACGAAUCUCGAUCAUCGGUGCAUUAGCACCAGGCGGGGCAUCCGUGGAAGCCACGCUGCUUCUCCGNNNNNNNNNNNNNNNNNNNNNNNNNNNNNNNNNNNNNNNNNNNNNNNNNNNNNNNNNNNNNNNNNNNNNNNNNNNNNNNNNNNNNNNNNNNNNNNNNNNNNNNNNNNNNNNNNNNNNNNNNNNNNNNNNNNNNNNNNNNNNNNNNNNNNNNNNNNNNNNNNNNNNNNNNNNNNNNNNNNNNNNNNNNNNNNNNNNNNNNNNNNNNNNNNNNNNNNNNNNNNNNNNNNNNNNNNNNNNNNNNNNNNNNNNNNNNNNNNNNNNNNNNNNNNNNNNNNNNNNNNNNNNNNNNNNNNNNNNNNNNNNNNNNNNNNNNNNNNNNNNNNNNNNNNNNNNNNNNNNNNNNNNNNNNNNNNNNNNNNNNNNNNNNNNNNNNNNNNNNNNNNNNNNNNNNNNNNNNNNNNNNNNNNNNNNNNNNNNNNNNNNNNNNNNNNNNNNNNNNNNNNNNNNNNNNNNNNNNNNNNNNNNNNNNNNNNNNNNNNNNNNNNNNNNNNNNNNNNNNNNNNNNNNNNNNNNNNNNNNNNNNNNNNNNNNNNNNNNNNNNNNNNNNNNNNNNNNNNNNNNNNNNNNNNNNNNNNNNNNNNNNNNNNNNNNNNNNNNNNNNNNNNNNNNNNNNNNNNNNNNNNNNNNNNNNNNNNNNNNNNNNNNNNNNNNNNNNNNNNNNNNNNNNNNNNNNNNNNNNNNNNNNNNNNNNNNNNNNNNNNNNNNNNNNNNNNNNNNNNNNNNNNNNNNNNNNNNNNNNNNNNNNNNNNNNNNNNNNNNNNNNNNNNNNNNNNNNNNNNNNNNNNNNNNNNNNNNNNNNNNNNNNNNNNNNNNNNNNNNNNNNNNNNNNNNNNNNNNNNNNNNNNNNNNNNNNNNNNNNNNNNNNNNNNNNNNNNNNNNNNNNNNNNNNNNNNNNNNNNNNNNNNNNNNNNNNNNNNNNNNNNNNNNNNNNNNNNNNNNNNNNNNNNNNNNNNNNNNNNNNNNNNNNNNNNNNNNNNNNNNNNNNNNNNNNNNNNNNNNNNNNNNNNNNNNNNNNNNNNNNNNNNNNNNNNNNNNNNNNNNNNNNNNNNNNNNNNNNNNNNNNNNNNNNNNNNNNNNNNNNNNNNNNNNNNNNNNNNNNNNNNNNNNNNNNNNNNNNNNNNNNNNNNNNNNNNNNNNNNNNNNNNNNNNNNNNNNNNNNNNNNNNNNNNNNNNNNNNNNNNNNNNNNNNNNNNNNNNNNNNNNNNNNNNNNNNNNNNNNNNNNNNNNNNNNNNNNNNNNNNNNNNNNNNNNNNNNNNNNNNNNNNNNNNNNNNNNNNNNNNNNNNNNNNNNNNNNNNNNNNNNNNNNNNNNNNNNNNNNNNNNNNNNNNNNNNNNNNNNNNNNNNNNNNNNNNNNNNNNNNNNNNNNNNNNNNNNNNNNNNNNNNNNNNNNNNNNNNNNNNNNNNNNNNNNNNNNNNNNNNNNNNNNNNNNNNNNNNNNNNNNNNNNNNNNNNNNNNNNNNNNNNNNNNNNNNNNNNNNNNNNNNNNNNNNNNNNNNNNNNNNNNNNNNNNNNNNNNNNNNNNNNNNNNNNNNNNNNNNNNNNNNNNNNNNNNNNNNNNNNNNNNNNNNNNNNNNNNNNNNNNNNNNNNNNNNNNNNNNNNNNNNNNNNNNNNNNNNNNNNNNNNNNNNNNNNNNNNNNNNNNNNNNNNNNNNNNNNNNNNNNNNNNNNNNNNNNNNNNNNNNNNNNNNNNNNNNNNNNNNNNNNNNNNNNNNNNNNNNNNNNNNNNNNNNNNNNNNNNNNNNNNNNNNNNNNNNNNNNNNNNNNNNNNNNNNNNNNNNNNNNNNNNNNNNNNNNNNNNNNNNNNNNNNNNNNNNNNNNNNNNNNNNNNNNNNNNNNNNNNNNNNNNNNNNNNNNNNNNNNNNNNNNNNNNNNNNNNNNNNNNNNNNNNNNNNNNNNNNNNNNNNNNNNNNNNNNNNNNNNNNNNNNNNNNNNNNNNNNNNNNNNNNNNNNNNNNNNNNNNNNNNNNNNNNNNNNNNNNNNNNNNNNNNNNNNNNNNNNNNNNNNNNNNNNNNNNNNNNNNNNNNNNNNNNNNNNNNNNNNNNNNNNNNNNNNNNNNNNNNNNNNNNNNNNNNNNNNNNNNNNNNNNNNNNNNNNNNNNNNNNNNNNNNNNNNNNNNNNNNNNNNNNNNNNNNNNNNNNNNNNNNNNNNNNNNNNNNNNNNNNNNNNNNNNNNNNNNNNNNNNNNNNNNNNNNNNNNNNNNNNNNNNNNNNNCACACCAACCGCGACUAAAGGGUACCUUUAGUCACGGUCCGCCGCCCCAACCGGGACUAAAGGGUUUUGGCGCCGCUUUCGUUCCCGCGCAGAAAGACCCUUUAGUCACGGUUGGGGACAACAACCGCGACUAAAGGGUACCCUUUAGUCGCGGUCCGCCUCCCCAACCGGGACUAAAGGCAUUGUGCUGCUACCACUGCCGCUCCCCUCGCUAGUUUAGUCCCACCUCGCUAGUUGAGAGGGGCGCGCAGUGGUUUAUAAGCCCCACUGCCGCUCCCCUCUUGAGCUCCUCUCCAUUGCAGGCUUACGGGCCUAAUUGUCACUGCUAUGCCUGAUGGGCCUACUGGGCCUUCUGCGGGCCUGAAUCCUGGCCCAACGAUGGGUUUCUAGUCGUAUUCAGGCCGUGGUGGCCCAGUAGGUGGCAUAUUUUUUAUUUUUUGCCUGUUUUUUGUUUUCUUUUUUGCUUUAUUUAUUUUGUUUUGUUUCUACUUACAACAAAAAACUUAUUUAUUUUAUUUUAUUUUGUUUCUAAUUACUUAUUUAUUUUACUUUAUGAUAAUUAUUUUUGCUAUUAAAGUUUCUAACAAAAAAAGUUCUUUAUGAAAAUUCUUUUAGCUUUAUUUUUACUUAUCUAUUUUGUUUGUACUUUAUGAUAAUUAUUUUUACUUAUUUAUUUUGUUUGUACUUAUAUAUUUUGAAAAAUCUUAAAAAUACAAUUAUAUAUCAAAAAAAUCAGAAAAAUAAAACUAAUUCAUUUUAAAAUCCCUUGAAGGUUUGACAAAAGGUUUGAUACAUCAUUCAGUUCAUCGACCAAAUACAAAGUUUGGUACAAUAAAUUAUUACACAUCAAUUCUUCCCUUGUGUCCCUGCUUGCUUACGAUUGUGCCGUAUCCAUGGAGCAUCCUCAUCAUUUAACUUAAUGCUUGGGUCAGUGUUUACUUUGAAGGGCGGAAUUUCACCAAACAUAUUAUAAUCUUCUGACAUGUCUGUCUUGUCCUCCACUCCCACGAUGUUUCUUUUCCCUGAAAGAACAAUGUGGCGCUUUGGAUCAUCGCAUGUGUACUGAUCGUUUUCUUAUCUUUCCGUUUCCUCGGUUUGCUACUCAUGUCCUUCAAAUAAAAAACCUGAGCAACAUCUUUGGCAAGGACGAAUGGUUCGUCAAGGUAACCAAGAUUGUUGAAAUCCACCAUUGUCAUUCCGUAUUGCUCGUCCACCUUUACCCCACCUCCUGUUAGCUUGAACCAUUUGCACCGGAACAAAGGGACCUUAAAGGAGGGUCCAUAGUCAAGUUCCCAUAUCUCCUCUAUGUAACCAUAAUAUGUGACCUUUCGCCCAUUCUCGGUUGCUGCAUCAAAGCGGACACCACUGUUUUGGUUGGUGCUCUUUUUAUCUUGGGCGAUGGUGUAAAAUGUAUUCCCAUUUAUCUCGUACCCUUGGAAAAUCGUUAUAGUCGAAGAUGGUUUCUUGGCCAACAUGUACAGCUGAUCUCCAACAUCAUUGUCAUUCAUUAAAUGUUUUCGCAACCAACUGCCGAAAGUCUCCAUGUGGGCCUUUCUAAUCCAGGAUUCAGGCUUCCCCAGGUUGUCCGAGCGUAAAAUAUUCUUGUGUUGCUCGAAGUACGGAGCCACAAAGCUGGAAUUUUGCAGAACUGUGUGGUGUGCUUCAGUCAUAGAAUGACCGUCCAUACAUAUCAUGGAUUUCCUUCCGAUCUUGCCUUUUCCACUUAGUCUCCCCUCGUGCCGCGAUUGAGGAAUACCUAUCGGCUUAAGGUCAGGAACAUAGUCAAUACAGAACUCAAUUACCUCCUCAUUUCCAUAGCCCUUGACGAUGCUUCCUUCUGGCCUAGCACGGUUACGAACAUAUUUCUUUAAUACUCCCAUGAACCUCUCAAAGGGGAACAUAUUGUGUAGAAAUACAGGACCGAGAAUGGAAAUCUCUUCGACUAGGUGGAGCAGGAGGUGCGUCAUAAUAUCGAAGAAGGAUGGUGGGAACACCAACUCGAAACUGACAAGGCAUUGGACCACAUCGUUCUGUAACCGUGGUAGCUCUUCUGGAUUGAUUACCUUCUGAGAGAUUGCAUUGAGGAAUGCACAUAGCUUCACAAUGGCUACUCGAACAUUUUCCGGUAGGAGCCCCCUCAAAGCAAUCGGAAGCAAUUGCGUCAUAAUCACGUGGCAGUCGUGAGACUUCAGGUUUUGGAACUUUUUCUCCGCCAUGUUUAUUAUUCCCUUUAUAUUCGACGAGAAGCCAGACGGGACCUUCAUACUGCUCAGGCAUUCAAAAAAAAUGACCUUCUCUUCUUUGGUAAGAGCGUAGCUGGCACGACCUUGAAACCAUUCCGGAUGCCGGUCAUCUGGGUCUUUCAAAAGUUGCUGGUCCUGCCGUGCUUCCUUUGUAUCAUUUGUCUUCCCAUACACACCCAAGAAGCUUAGCAGGUUCACGCAAAUAUUCUUCGUAACAUGCAUCACGUCGAUUGCAGAGCGGACAUCUAGGACUUUCCAAUAUUCUAGCUCCCAAAAUAUAGAUUUCUUCUUCCACAUGGGUGCGUGCCCGUCAACUCCCCGCGGAACUGAUUGUCCGCCAGGACCCUUUCCAAAGAUGACUUUCAAAUCCUUGACCAUAUCAAAUAUCUCAGCACCAGUACGUUCCGCAGGCUUCGGCCGGUGAUCUGCCUUGCCGUUGAAAUGCUUGCCUUUCUUUCUUACGUUAUGAUUUCGGGGAAGAAAUCGACGAUGACCCAGGUACACGUUCUUCUUACAAGUAACCAAACGUACACUUUCAGUCGCAUGUAAGCAGUGCGUGCAUGCAUUGUAUCCCUUAUUUGUCUGUCCCGAAAGGUUACUGAGAGCAGGCCAAUCGUUGAUGGUUACAAAAAGCAACGCUCGUAGGUCAAAUUCCUCUCCUUUGUGCUCAUCCCAGACACGUACACCAGGUCUGGCCCACAACUGUAAAAGUUCAUCAACUAAUGGCCUUAGGUACACAUUGAUGUCGUUCCCGGGUUGCUUUGGACCUUGGAUGAGCACUGGCAUCAUAAUGAACUUCCGCUUCAUGCACAACCAAGGAGGAAGGUUGUAGAUGCAUAGAGUCACGGGCCAGGUGCUAUGGCUGGAGCUCUGCUCGCCAAAAGGAUUCAUGCCAUCAGUACUUAGACCAAAUCUUAUGUUCCUUGCGUCAGCUGCAAAAUCUUUGAACACUCUGUCGAUCUUUCUCCAUUGCGUUCCAUCAGCAGGGUGUCUCAACUCCCCGUCGGACUAAAGGCCUUCGGGGACCUUCAGUCCCGGUUGGCCAGGCCAACCGGGACUAAAGCCCCACCCAUCCGCCAGCUGGAUGGGCCUUUAGUCCCGGUUGGCCUGGCCAACCGCGACUAAAGGCCUUCGGGGACCUUUAGUCCCGGUUGGCCAGGCCAAGCGGGACUAAAGCCCCUCCCGUCCGCCAGCGUGCGCUGGGCCCAGAUAGUUGGUCGCGGGUCUCCUCCCGAACCGCGACUAAAGACCCCUUUGUUCGUGGUUCGAUUAUUUUGGGGACUAAUGGGGGCGUAUGGAAGCCUCUUUUUCUACUAGUGGUAAUCUUCGCUUGAUGUUGGAGGGUUAGGCGUGAGCAUGGCUUAACAACUUGCUAGUAGACAACAUUUACGAGGAUGACCUAUGUGAUACCUUUCUCAAGAACUUUGAGGGCACGUACGCAAGGGCCCGACAAAGUGUCAGAAUCCUUGAAAUUGCGUCUAGAAGGACGAAGCGCCUGUUCGUGAAUACAUCAAUCGCUGGUCCCGUCUUCGCAACUCCACUGAGAACGUCGUAGAGCCGCAGGCCAUUCAGGCCUUCAAGCAGGGAGUUACCUAUGAGCACCUGAGGUAGAAGCUGGCCUGCACCGAGGUGCUGACCAUGGGUCGGCUCAUGGAGAUUGCCAACAAGUACACCAUCGGUGAAGAAACCAUAUGCCCAAAGGUCCCGACUGCUUAGGACAAAGGCAAGGCGAAUGUCGAACCCUCUAGGAAGAAGGAUCGCUCUGACUCCAACGACAGCGACAAUGUGCAGCAUAUCCACUAGUGGCAGUAUAGCAAAUUUUAGAAGUUAUCAUUUGAUGAGAUCCUCGAUCAGCCCUGCAAGUUCCAUGACAUGAAGGAGAGGCCAUCCAAGCAUCAUGAAGCGCCUUCAGUCGGAGAGGCCAUGGAGGUCGUAUUCGGCGACGAUGACAACUUUUGGUUCAAGAUCCUUAGCUUUGAGGUGGUUAACCUUCAGAGUGGCUACCACGCCAUCUUGGGCUGUCUGGUUAUGCCAAGUUAAUGGCUAGGCUUUGCUACGUCUACCUCAAGCUCAAGAUGCCAGGCCCUAAUAGGGUGAUCAUGAUCUCGGUGUCACGACCCAAGUACGGAGAUGGGAUGGACAGACGGAUUCAGUACCAAUCGUUGAUACAAGUUGAAGAUACAAUGAGGAUUUGGGAUGAGAAAUCAGCAAGGAGAUGUGAGGAAUACAGAGAGGUGGUGAGGGGCUUCAGAAGUUUCAGUCAUUCAUUCCCUGACUUCUCCUGUGAUUCCCUUGUUAUAUAUGUAGCCUCGCAUCCAGUGACUUCCAUGUGGGACCAGCCUCCAAGAGAUGUCCCACCACCUAGUUGUGCUUACUAGUGGAUAGGCCGGGCAUGACACUCGGUCAACCCUAAGCACUCUAAUCAGUGCGAUGACGCCAAUGCGGCCAUCAUCGAGACCCUGAUUGUGACUGAGGAGCUGGUUGAGAUCCAGAAGGAGGCUGAUGCCGAGAAGCUGCCAUCACACAAGAAGCUGACCACCAAGUCCUCCUUCCAGUUGGUAAGGACACCAAGAAGGUUUGAAUCCAUCCCGAUGACUCAUUGAAGACAACGCAAAUUGCCACCGAUCUUCUUGCCCAAGGAAAGUGCGCUCGUGGAGGAACUCCAUGAGAAUUAGGAAAUUUUCGUCCUGGCAUGCCAGGGUCCCAAGGGACAUUGCCAAGCACAAACUCAACGUCAUUAAGGGGCGAAGCUGGUAAAGCAGACCCUUAGUCGCUUCGCGGAAGACAUGCGCAGAGCCAUCAGUGAAGAGAUCACCCGACUACUCAAAGCCGGCUUCAUCCGAGAAGUCUUCCACCCGGAUCGGCUAGCAAACCCAGUCAUGGUUCCCAAGAAGAACCAAACAUAGCGCAUGUGUGUUGAUUACCAACCGUUUGAAAAAGGCGUGCUCCAAGGAUCCAUUUGCUCUGCCCCGUAUCGACCAGGUGAUUGAUUCCACGACUAGCUAAGAGGACGCCUAUUUAGGCUACCACCAGAUCAGAAUAAAAGAGUUGGACGAAAUCAAGACUGUGUGAUCUCAGAUCCAAUGUUCACCAAGAGAGCUCGUGAAUUUUUGCAAAAAUCCCCUAGGAGUUUGAUAAUUCUCGCAAAAUCUAGAUCCAACAGCAGUGUUCGCGCUGGAGCACCUAAGCUUAUGUGGUCCUGGAGCAUAGGUUAUUCUCCCGACCGACCCCCAUGAUGCACAGGGGCAACUAGACACUGCAAUUUCAGCCGGCCACAACUUCAGCAAACAUCUAAAUCAACACAAGUACCGAAAAGCAGGGUCCUCGUUCGAGCAUCUUCACUACACACGCCGGCUAGUGCAUCCGACCUGGGGAUUGUUGGUGAGGGCGCAUGAUUUUGCGUCUCUGGGUUUGUCGGCGCGGCGUGCGUUUGCUUGGCUCCGGCUCUUCCUGUGUCCCGUUGGGCUUUGGCUAAGACGUUUCCGAUCUAGUAACCUCGUAGCCACCCUUCUCUUCGGAAUUGUUGUGGUUGGGGGAUGGACCUCGCUCACAUCAUCAUCCUUGUGAUCGUCUAAGAGGCCCAGCAACUAAUCCAUGCCUUCCAUCAUCUCCUCUUCGCGCACCACAUAACCUUUGUCAUCAAACAUGACCUCUAGCUGAGGCAUCUAUGCAGCCUGACCACCCUCGGGAUCGGGCUGCAUGGAGGGGAGGAUAAGAAAUCCUGUGAAGUGAAGAUAUGUAUUUAGUGUGAGAAACAGAUAGAAGAAAUUUCACUUGAGGGUUUCAACCAACUUACAUCGGGAGGUUGGUUAUCAAAGUCGAAGGCCGGUACUGGUGCCAAUGGGAAGAGCUUCUCGCGUUCCUUAGUCAUGCUCUCCAUCCAAGCAAAGAAGUGCUUGUCUUUGGAAUCUUUUGGGGACGUUCAAGUGGAGUCAUUGGUGCCUGAGUACUCCCACAUCGGGUGAGCUCUCACGUGGAGGGGUUGGAUGCGUUGAUCAACCGAAGUCAUGAUCAUGUCGACCCUAGUGAGUCUGUGAUUCUUGAGCUCCCGAAUCCUCUCCAUCAAGAGCUUGGCUUCAUGCCUCUCCUUUGUCAGCUGAGGUUUCCAGCCAAUCGAGCUCACGGGAGGUCUUGUGGCUAGCUUGUGUGCGCACAUCCUGGAUGUAAAACCAGUCGGCUUGCCAGAGCUUGUGAGUGUUGGAGAACAUGAGCGAGAAAUAAACAUCUUGCGACACAAGCUGAACGCCGGUUCCCCCACAGACCGACAUCCGCCCACCUUUCUCCAUUGUAUGUGGCUUCAUGACGAAGAUCCACUUCCAGAGACCCCAAUGUGGAUGGGUGCCUAGGAAGCACUCACACAACAUGAUGAAACAUGCAAUGUGCAAGACUCCAUUCAGAUUUUGAUGGUGGAGUUCAAUGAUGUAAAAGAAGAGGAGCCCUCGCACGAAAUCGUGUAGGGGCAGGGACAUACCUCGGUCAAUGAAUGGCUUGUGAAGUACAUGCUCGCUCUCCCGUGGGUUCGACACUGCCUCUUCGUUGGGCAUCCUUCUCCAGGUCAGAUCUUUCGACGGGCUCAUCCGUAUGGAGGCAAGUCUCUCCAUCCGCCCCUCAUCCUCUCGACGUAUCCUGUCCAGUCGGUUGCCGAGGCUACAACCACGCCACGCAUGCCUCGCAUGGGAAUCUGAGGAGCUUCUUGGGGCAGUGCCCCGGGUGGCAUCCACUUGAUUGCUCGCAUUAAUUGUGCGUAGUCAAUGAGACAUUAAAGUGAUCCGUCUGACAGUCGCGGCCCUUUGUGCGUCGUAGAAGUCUCUUUGACCGAAGCUUGACCAAUUCAGACGGUGUCGCUGGCGGUUGGUGGAUACAACAUGAUUUUGACUCCGCUCACAACACACCCGGUUCUUCACUGGUUGCAUCCGCUCGGACACAAGCUAUCCUCAAGAGAUGGCGUCGACGAUCUGCUCCCUCAAGUCUCAGAUCACUUGGCAUUGCCAACACUAAACAACAGACUCAGCUUCCCCAACGGCACUAGUUGUUUUCCCAACCAAAUGCCCAAGUGCGAGAACUCGGUUCUGAAAAUGAAGAUCGAAAGAAUGAACCUUCUUAGGUGAACAACCGACAAUGACCCACUCGGAUAAGCCCAGUUCUUCAAGGAUCACUUGGAAUUUAUGAUAGGCUUCCCUACAAGCCAUAAGCAAAGCUCUUAGGCGAGUGUGUUAGGUAUCAGUGAGUCUUUACUACAAACAACAUAUACCUUUUCAGGUACUUUUCAAGACCAUCAAGGGCUCUCAUCAAGCGGCGCGACAACUAUUUCAGUUGGUUCUUCCAGGAGAACCUUCCUUAAUCAAGGAAUCAGCACCAUCCCUGAGACCUUGAAGGACUUGGGGGCUAUUGACGGCGGGAUCCCCCCAAGGUAGGCCCAUGACAACGAUUUAGCCUAGCAGGUUUGAACAACCCGAGUCCACAUCAGGAGUCACUCGGUUGGGACGACAUCUUAAAGUCCAUCAAGCUAAUAAAUGUCGUGGCGUCCAUCUGACUGAACCAGACGUGGUCAAUAAAUGGAGGCAUUAUGGCGUUGGGGGUAAUUCCAUUAGUAACGACCAUCAUCAUGGCUCAUAACAGCCAUUGUACUCUACAUCCUCGUCGUCUCAUGUAGGAAAAGGAUGGCCCGAGAUCUUAGAAGAGGCGAAGACAGAUAUACGAAGUCUCUAGCAGACACGCCAUCCAUGGUCAUCACUCGUCAACCCCUUAUUGUAACCAUACUGUUCAUAUGAUAGAAAACAUCCAGCAGGAUAGGGUGUUACCCCUAGAAUAGGGGCCCUAACCUAGGUCAUCCACGUGUGCCUUGCCUUUGCAAAAUCCCCCAAUCCACGUGAAAUUCCUGCGACAUUUACCAUUUGGAACAAUACUAGAACCAAUGAGGUGCUGGCAUUUUUCAUUUCGUUUUAGGACCGUUAUAUCUAUUUCUUGAAGCACCUAUCUCUUAGCAUGUGCAUGGGUGGAGCCACAAGUGGACAUGGGUGUACAUACACCAAUUCAUGGUAAGAAAUCAUAAACUAAGUAUAUAAAAUACAUUCAAAUUGGAAAAUAGCUAGGGAAUUUAUAAAAUCUUGAACUCUGUACACUCAUUCUGGUAAACCUGGCUUCGUCAUUGAUACUGUGACAUAUAGCUAACUUGACGACACCACCAUCUUAGUUUAAGCUGUUGUGCUAUUGGCAUUGUCAUAUAGUUUGAUCCCUUUGAUAUGUGAAGGGUUGGCCGCAUUUUGAGAGUGCCGCCUGAUCUUGUGGCUCAAAUAAUCCAGAUAGAUGAUUGGACAACAGCAACAACAACAAAGCCUUUAGUCCCAAACAAGUUGGGGUAGGCUAGAGGUGAAACCCAUAAGAUCUCGCAACCAACUCAUGGUUCUGGCACAUGGGUAGCAAGCUUCCACGCACCCUUGUCCAUGGCUAGUUCUCUGGUAAUACUCCAGUCCUCCAGAUCACUCUCUACGGACUCCUCCCAUGUCAAGUUUGGUCUAUCCCGACCUCUUUUGACAUUACCGGCACGCUUUAGCCGUCCUCUAUGCACUGGCGCUUCUGGAGGCCUACGCUGAAUAUGCCCAAACCAUCUCAGACGAUGUUGGACAAGCUUCUUUCAAUCGACACUACCCAAACUCUAUCUCGUAUAUCAUCAUUCCGGACUCGGUCCUUCCUUGUGUGGCCAUACAUCCAUCUCAACAUACGCAUCUCUGCCACACCUAAUUGUUAAACAUGUCGUCUUUUAGUCGGCUAACACUCAGCGUCAUACAACAUUGCAGGUCGAACUGCCGUCCUAUAGAACUUGCCUUUUAGCUUUUGUGGCACUCUCGUCACAGAGAAUGCCAGACGCAUGGCGCUACUUCAUCCAUCUGGCUUUGAUUCGAUGAUUCACAUCUUCAUCGAUAUCCCCAUCCUUCUGCAGCAUUUACCCAUAUUCGAAAGGUGUCCUAUUGAGGCACCAUCUGCCCAUUAAGGCUAACCUCCUCCUCGUGCCUAGUAGUACUGAAACCACACCUCAUGUACUCGGUUUUAGUUCUACUAAGUCUAAAACCUUUGGAUUCCAAGGUUUGUCUUCAUAGUUCUAACUUCCUAUUGACCCCCGUCCGACUAUCAUCAAUUAGCACCACAUCAUCCGCAAAGAGCAUACACCAUGGGAUAUCUCCAUGCAUAUCGUACAUGUCCUUGAUGAGGUUAAUGUACUUUGCCGCGACUUUGUGUUUCUCCAAGGCCCACCACAUGGUAUGUUAUCGUAGGUCUUCUCUAAGUCAAUGAACACCAUAUGCAUAUCCUUCUUUUGCUCCAUGUAUCUCUCCAUGAGUUGUCAUACCAAGAAAAUGGCUUCCAUGGUUGACCUCCCAGGCAUGAAACCAAACUGAUUUUUGGUCACGCUUGUCAUACUUCUUAAGCGGUGCUCAAUGACUCUCCCAUAGCUUCAUUGUAUGGCUCAUCAGCUUAAUUCCACGGUAAUUAGUACAACUUUGAACAUCCCUCUUGUUCGUGAAGAUUGGUAAUAAUAUACUCCGUCUCCAUUCUUCUGGCAUCUUGUUUGCCCGAAAAAUGAGGUUGAAAAGCUUAGUUGCCAUACUAUAGCUAUUAGGGAUACAAUCAGGGCCCAUCGCCUUGCCUCCUUUCAUCCUUUUUAAAGCCUCCUUGACCUCCAACUCCUGGAUUCUCCGCACAAAAUGCCUGCUAGUAUCAUCAAAGGAGUCGUCCAGUUCAAUUGUAGAGCUCUCAUUCUCCUCAUUGAACAUCUUGUCGAAGUACUCCAGCCAUCUAUGCUUAAUCUCCUCGUCCUUCACCAACAGUUGGUCUGCUCCUCAAUGAUGAUUGGAAAAUAAUAAAAAUAAAUCUCUAGUAUAUCUCUAUUCUUAAUCAUGCAAUUCUUUGACUAAUUUCAUCACCUAGCUCUUCAAUGGUGUCGUAGAUAUCGCUAAGUUGAAACAGCUUCACCAUUUUUUUGAAAUCCUGCAUAUCUUGUAUGAGUUAGUUGGACUUGUACAAGAUUAACUGUACCAAUGCUACUUAUGUUUAAAGACUCAAUAUCAUCGCCGAAGAAAACAAGACAAUUUGGAAUCGUGUUUCGAGUUCCGUUAGGGUUGUCAGGUUGCAGACAGAACGAGGGGAUGCUAGAAGGAACAGUUUAAAGUGGAAAGGGACAAACACUGUUCUUUUACAGUCAUUUUCACAAUUAGUUCUCGUUUUUUUCUUAAUUAUCGGAACUAUUUUUUAUCUCACUAAUGAUCCAGUGGAGUACACUCCCUGGCCUUUCUGGAAGUGCUUUUCUGAAGUUGAACUUUGGUUAUAACAGUUUGGUAGGUUUCCAAUAGAACUCGCUGCACUGAGUGGUACAAGGGAAGGUGUUGCGAUCUUAUUUCCUGUAACUUCUUGUAUUCCAACUGUGCAUGAUUGGAGCGUUGACGGAAUAAUACGGCAUGCAAGAGUGUCUAUGAAACAGGUAUGCAUUAGAUCCUGUUUAGUUUAUAUAAUUUCUAGUUUAACAUUGGCAUCAACUGUUAAUCUAUAGUUUCUCAGUUAGAAUUACCAUACAUAAAAUUAGCCAUGUUUCUUUUUGCCUAUUUUGAUUCAAUGAACACGAAUUUUAUACAUGCUAUUGAUAAUCUUUUAAAAAAAAUUUGGUUGGGAGUUGAUGGGCUUGUGAGUUUAUUUGUAUGUAGAAAGUGCAGAUCAAGGUAGAUGAUUGCCGAGCCCAGGAUAAGUAGUUUCUUAUACANNNNNNNNNNNNNNNNNNNNNNNNNNNNNNNNNNNNNNNNNNNNNNNNNNNNNNNNNNNNNNNNNNNNNNNNNNNNNNNNNNNNNNNNNNNNNNNNNNNNNNNNNNNNNNNNNNNNNNNNNNNNNNNNNNNNNNNNNNNNNNNNNNNNNNNNNNNNNNNNNNNNNNNNNNNNNNNNNNNNNNNNNNNNNNNNNNNNNNNNNNNNNNNNNNNNNNNNNNNNNNNNNNNNNNNNNNNNNNNNNNNNNNNNNNNNNNNNNNNNNNNNNNNNNNNNNNNNNNNNNNNNNNNNNNNNNNNNNNNNNNNNNNNNNNNNNNNNNNNNNNNNNNNNNNNNNNNNNNNNNNNNNNNNNNNNNNNNNNNNNNNNNNNNNNNNNNNNNNNNNNNNNAAUCUGGCACACACACUUCUUUAUGUGGUAGAUAAUUUUUGUUGUACUGGUCAGAUGAUAGAUGUCAUGAGUUCUGGAAAUAAACAUUUCCUUGUAGGCUUGUACUAUCAGGAGCAAGAUGAGGAUCAAGAUGUUUCUGAAAUGAAACAUGACUGGUCUGCUAAUUUUUUGUGUGGAAAUCCAAUUUGGCUCCUGGGAGCACGUGCUCCUGCGUGCGAAAAUGAUUUUUUAAAUGUCAGAAAAAUCCCAACAAAUUUUUUAUGUCUUCAUAGUCACAUCCAAAUGCUAACUGCAAAUUCUUAGGCAAAAUGGUUAAACAUUUUGGACUGUGCAGAAAAAACAAAACCAAUUGAACACCAGAUGUUACCCCAAAUUUGUUUUUUCACCAACGAAACACUAUUGCUCCGUUUCGCAUGAAAAUUAUCAAGGACGCUUGCGACACGAACAUCCACAAAAAAGUUCAGAAUUUUUUGAAAACAUUUUACUACUUUUGAAUUACUGUUCAUGCGGGAGCACGUGCUCCCGGGAGCCAAAACGCCUCCCCCUUUUUUUGUGCCACAAUAUUACACACUGUUUCCAAAAUUGUCUGCAAUAGCCGAGCACUAGGCACCACCCUGCCACCCAAUUAGUGCCUAUCGAUUUUUAGAACUUUAAUAGUAUAGGUACUGCUUUAUACUUGCAUUCCUAAGUCCCGAUUCAUUUGUUUUUCUUCGUCUUGUAGGGUGCACAUUCAAAUGUAAGAACAAUAGAACAGUUUAAGUUACUCCGGGUUGAGUCUCUCAAGAGAAACGAUUAUUUUACUGCGGCAACACUGUACAGUGCGGUAUGCUACUACACCCUGUUUCUCGAUGUGUAAUCUUGAACUGCAUCUCAUUAGCUGAAGUUGCUUGAAUAGCUGUCAGGUGAUCGUGAUCUGGUUUCACAUUAUUCUUGUCCUACAUGCUCCCUCUAGAGAUAGUGAUCAUCAUUGUGACCGAUAAGUACAGUUGGCCUCACUCUUUGCUUUGAGACACAUCUCUCUUCAAUUUAUUGAAGAUAAUUUUUAUUGCCAAUGCCAUAUGAAAGUUUGAUCAUGAGGACCUGACAAGGACUUCUAUGGGUCCUUAAACAGCAGAACCGUUCUUGUGCUUGAACAGUGUAGCUCUGCUUUUGCAUUAUAGAAGAGGGAAAGAAAGACAGUCAACUGUAAAACAGAGAAAAAAUGCGAAAGACUCACACAGGGAAGCAAAUACCCGAAGUUGCAGCGCACUCUCAGGUUCCUGGUCAUACAGGCAGCAAAUACUGUUGUGUGGCCAACCUCAUGCACUGGGUCUGUUCGCCGGCUAUUUCUGGGCUGUGGGUUUGUACUUUGGGCUACUGUGAUAUCUCUUACUUUCAAGGAAGAGUGGGAAAUUAUCUUUACUGCAACAUUGUCCUAUUCUUAUACUUUAGUUACUGCUAUAAGGAAAUUUGCUUGAAUUGACUAUAUUGUCCAGACUAGUAUACUUCUAAGUUCUAAAAUUCAUCAGAACUUCAAUUCGUUCUUUCUCGCCUUUUGAAGUACAAAUAGUUACAAGCAAGAUGUGAUUAUUGUUUUUAUAUAAUCAGAUCAGACAUGUCCUAAGUUUGCGUUCAACCUGUUGGGUGCAUGCAGGCAAUGGAGUAUGACCGUCAUGAUGCCACCUUGUUGUCGGACAGGAGCUUUUGCUGGCUCUGCAUGGGCGAUGGACAUGAGGCUUUGCGGGAUGCUCUUGCGUGCAGAGAAAUGAGGCCUGGCUGGCCAAAGGCCUGCUACCGGCAGGGCCAAGCGCUCAUGUUAUUGAAGGUGUGAACGAAGAUAUCUAUCUGGUUGUCUAGUUUGUUAUUGAUGACUGUCGCCACAUGCCCUUCAUCGUUUCUAAUCUUAUACUGUAUCAUCAUCAGGACUAUGGGGCUGCAUGCGAUGCUUUUCUGGAUGCAGCCAAGCUGGACCCAGGGAGUCCUGAGAUUGAGUCUGCGUUGCGGUAUGAUUACAACUGACGACGAAACCCCCCCUUUUCAAAGAACCCACCCCACCCACCCAUAACUUGUCAUAUCCGAAUGUACAGCCGAUUCUGAUCGUGAUCUGCAUACAUACUCGAUGGAGAUUUAUACAUUGCAUACAUACAUUUGUUGGACAACGCAGUCAAGCAUUAAAAUUCUAACAUACUCCUUUCGUCCCAUAAUGUAAGACGUUUUUUGACACUACUUACAUUAUGGGACGGAGGGAGUACAUCGGUGUUGGGAACGUUGCAGGGAAGCUAUGAAUUCACUGAGGACAUCUUGUGGCGCAGCAUAGGCCGUUUGAACAACACUGCACGGGGCAUGCGGUUUCUUUCGCUUCUUGUGGAGUGGAGCUAUGCAACAUCCCAGAAUCGGCCUUGUUGUUUUACCAGUUAACUCGGUGAACCCCGAUGAGCAAAGAAGCAGCAUUAGGGAUCGAUGGAGCGAAAAGUGCCAACAGAGGACAGGCUACAGUGAGGACUUAAAAAAAAACGUAGUUCUGCAUCUAAGAAAAAUCGAGUUUUUUUUUGUACAUACACAAAUACAUACAUAACUAGUUUAGGGAGAUUUUCGUAACAAUAUAGUACAUGGCAUAGAAAAAAAACAAAUAUGUACAUGAAAAUGGGCCAUUUUUUUUUGGCCUGGGAUUUUUUUUUGUGCAGCUUGCGAAUCAUAAUAUUUUUUAAGGGGAUUUUAUAGAUCCGUUAACGUUGUGAACAUGUAUGGGUUUUCACAGAAGGAUUCCGUUGCCAUGACCCUGGCAGCCGCUCGUAGGGAUGAAAAUGGAGUGGAAACGGACGGAACUAAGUGCUAUCAUAUUUGUUUUCAUAUUUGUUUGCAGAAGCGGAAACAAAUACAGAAACCUCGAAAAUGAAAACGGAAACAAAUACUACCGGAAACAGAUACAGAGCAAAUACAGAGCGGACACGGAAACAUAAGUGCUCAUUGUGUGAUUGUGUGUUGUUUGGUGGUUGGGCUGCAAAGCAGUCAUAAGCCUAUAGUAAACACAGAAACUCCGUAUUCACGGAAACGGAAAGUUCCGUUUCCAUGUCUGUUCCACCAGAAAACAACGUUUCAUUUUUGUUUCCGUUUCCGUAUAAAAAAUUCCAUUUUCACUUCCGUUUUGCAAAUUUUCAUUUCCGUUUUCAUAUUUCCUCUUCAUUUUCAUUUUUCUUCCGUAUAAGCGAAAAGUUUUCACUCCAUUUUCAUCUCUAGCCGCUGGGAUUGCCCGGGUAUUAUACUAGAAUGCUUGUAUCAACUAAACUUGGUCGAGAGGCUUGGUUAGAAGGUCGCGGUGAUUCUUCUAGUGGCCAGGAAGAACUUCAAAGGUGAAGAUAGAGGUUCCUUCAAAGGUGAAGAUCUUCCUUUGGCGACUGGUUGGGAAUCCAAAUCAAUCUAUCUAGACGCCUUUGCUCGUGUGUUCAUAGGCAUUACCGAUCGAACCAGCUGUCCUUGAAGCACUGGCUUGCCUUAAAGCUUUGGCAUGCACUAGCUUCAGAUCUGGGACUAAACCAGGCGGUAAUUGCCUCAGACUGCAAGGAAGUGGUAACAAACAUCAAGGAUGGCAAUGGUUGAAAACUUGGCCAUAUCAUUCGCGAAAUUCAGACGAUUAUUGCUUCUGAGAUUCAUUGUCGAAAAAGGGUUUUCCCAUGACUUAUAUUAUAAAGCAACCAUCACCACAUACAUCUGAGCGAGCCGAACAAACGCACGCCACCACGAACACACCCAAGGCUAGAUACAAAGGCCGGGCACCUUCACACCACUCGGGCACAACCAAGCAAACUAAAUAUGAGCUAUGAAGAACCACUUGAAGCCACCGAGCAGGGGUGAGAUGGACAAUGACGAAGUAAAGGCUCCAAGACGGUGCCUCCCAGAAGGGUACGAUCACGGAUAGCCGCCACCGUCCCAUCCACAGAUCAAGUUUUCACCCGGAGCGACGCAAGGGGCAGGAGCACCGCGACGGAGCCUUCAAGAAGAAUACAACGUCCACAGACGCCGCCACCGACGGCCAGAUAGGAACUGUGCAAGUGAUGAACCCCGACACUCACACCCCUCCAACACACCCCUACUCCGCCAACCACCUGCAGCCACGUCCCCCGCAAAACCAUGGCUGCCCACCCGCACCUAAGAGGCAGGUUCCACCCCCAAAUGCCACGCCUCCCGCCACCAGGGCCACCGCCCAACAUCCAGAGAUUCCCAAGACCAUCUAAAGAGAUCAACUUUGCACCGAAGGAACACCACCGACCGACAACCACAACAUACGUCCUGCCUUGAACAUCGCCGGAGCUGUGACAACCAGCACGCGGCCGGGGAAUGGGGGAGGCGGGGGAGCGGACGCAUCCGGACCGGCACACCCCUGUGCCAGUGACGGGGGCCCGAGCACGUCGGCGCCACCCAUCCCUCCAGCCAGCCUCCCUACCGGUCACACCCCUGUGCCGCCUCACCUCAGCGCCCGACGCAGAACCGCGCAAGGCCACCGACGCAAAACCCGGCCACCGGCAAGGGGGACCCAAGGAUUGUUGCUGAACGGCAAGAAUACUCACCGGGGAGCCUAAUUGCCCUGUCGCCGUCGUCCAGCUGACAGGAUGCCUGGAUCCCAACCAACACGCCCAUCUGCCACCGCCGCUGCGCCUCCACCACCACCAGCCGAGGCCACGGCAGGGGCGGACGCCCAUAGUCCGCGCCGCCCGUGGCCCUCGCCGACUGGUACCAGAUCUGGUCAUCUGCCGCCGCUGAAGCCCACCGCGCACCACCUCCGCUGCAGCCCCUUCAGGCCGCCGACCACAACUCGCGUCGCCGUCUCCAGCUGCUGCCGCCGCGCCGCCACUCGACCCGUAGGCCCUCGCCUGCCGAGCCGAGAGGCGAGGGGAGGGAGGCAUGAGGAGGGAGGCGGGAGGUGCCCGCACGCCGUGGGAGGGGGGAUGGGGAUGAUGUGCUUUCCUCCUCUUGUCAUCGCUUCUGAGAUUCAUAAGACCUCCUUCAUCUUUGAGGGAAGAAUCUCUAUUUCAAGCAUAUAGCCUCGCGAAGCAUGUGUUAGGUUUAUCAGUAGGGUGCCAUCUUUGGCUUAUACAUCGUCCUGAUAUCAUUUUGUAUGGGACGUGCUAUGUGUUGUCGGCGGAUCAUUUUAAAAGAUCUGCCAGGCUGCGAGCCGUCAGAUCCUAAGUAAUCUUGUGGCUGAGCGUUGUCCUCACUUUUGCAACACACAGUCUUGUUGUAUAAUUCUUUUUGUAACAGAGGUCUUGUUGCAUUUUUUUGCAAUAGAGGACUUGUUGCAGAUUUUUUUUACGUCUUUACUUUUUUCAACAUAGGUGAUGUUGCGGAAAAUAUUACAACAAAGAUGUAGUGGCCAGUGAGAUAAUGGAGAAUAGUGUGGUGGGCGGGCCACACUUGGGACAUGCGUCACGCAUUGGAGGCAGCGGACGCCCCUGGCUGUUCCCAAGCUUUUUCCCCAAUUGUAUGCUCUCAAAUUGAUAAAUGAAUAAAGCAUGUGGUUAGCUUAAAAAAAAACCUCGCCCGCAGCGCUUCGGCGAGGCUGCGGUAGGCGGAGGAAUCGUCGACGCGCGGCCCAUCAGCCCGCUGGAGCUUGCCAUUGCUGUCAAUUGGCGUGGGGGAGGAUUUGCAGGUGUCAAUGCCAGCACGGUCAAGCAAGUCUUCGGCGUACUGCUGUUGGGAAAGGAAGAAGCAACCUGCGGUGCGCGUGACACGAAUACCAAGGAAGAAUCUCUCUGAAAAAAAAACCAAGGAAGAAGUGCAGAGGGCUCAUGUCCUUCAUGGCAAAUUCACCAGUGAGGUGAUGAACUAUGUGCUGGAGCAGUGCCAGAGUAUUGACAAUCAUGUGAAUGUGAGUACAAAUUAAAUGGCACCAGAUCCUCGGGUUUUCAGACCUAACAUAAAUGAUCUGUAUCCCUGACCCUGAAAGCCAAAACAGGUUAGCCCGAAAGGAAAAACUAGUACGCUCUCAUGCAUUGCAGCUGCUCCCGGCGGAAAAAUUAAACGCCAGCUCUUUGCCGCUACCAUCCUCGAAACAACACACUUUCCUUCUUUGCUGGCCCAAACAUAUCUAAGGCGCACAACUAUAUAGUCUGAUAAAUCUGACUUAUAUUAAGAUGAACGGUCAAGGUUGCACCCUUGCAGGAACACCAGAAUCAAAGCUAUCCCUAAAGCCUCAAGGGACCACAUAAUAACCAAACUCUGUCUAUAGUACCAUCUCUGUCACCACAGCGUCAUAUUAUUGUUGAACUGUCUGCGGAACAUCUAAGUUUGGGGUAUACAAUAAAUCGAGCGGCGCAAAUUACGACGCUGACGGUUCUGGCUCUUUCCCCUUCCUCCCGUUGUUCACAACUUUUGUACUGUCAGCCGGCGGCACGGUGCUUGGCUCCUUGGUGUACAUGAUACAGUCGUCGAGAGUGUAGAUCCUGAGAGCGAGUGAGGAUACAGUUGAGGUCUUGAUAGCUACUGUGAAGGAGGACCAGUACCACCAAUCAUUUUUCAAGAACUCGGAUUUUAUCACUCUCUCCAACAUGCUGGUCGCCAGUACCAUCUGGAAGAGGCACAGUAUAGAUACGAUUAAUCAGUACAGUGGCUAAUAACAGCCCUCUCAAGCAUUUAUUUUGUAUGGAGAUGAUGAUGUUAGAGAGCUUUUAAUAUAAUGGACAGGCACAAAAAUAAUAAACACUUUUUUUGUGGCACAAAUUAAGGUGAAGAAAUAGAUGAUGAAGUCACCUCGGAUAUUGAUUCUGCACGCUUCACAAAAGAACGCCAUGAACGCCUUCUCAUUUGUUGAGACUUUGAGGCUCUGAAAGCUUCCUCAGGCAAGGCUGCUUCUAUAUCAAGCAAAUUGAUCUUCUGUUGCUUUAGGAUAUGGGAGUUUCUUCCUGUAACAGGUCUCAAUGAUGACUCCGGAACCAAGCCACCGUUAACAGCCAGCAAUCUUGUUGGCUUGUCUGUUGCAGAAGAUGCUGCUUCCUCACAGGAAGUAGUAUCAGUAUCAGGGGCUGGCUCCUUACUUUUUGACACAUUUUCAUCACAGGAAGUACUAGCUGCAGGACAAUCUUGAGCAGAAUUGGACCCCUCCUGCCCUAAAUUUUGUGCAGACAUUGCCUGGCAUUCCUCUAAGGAGCUGGAAAUACAAUCAUCAUUUCGGAUGUCAUCUUGCUUUUUGUUUUUAUUCAGAAUGACUGGAGGAUCAAUAAAAGCUGCACGUGAAGGGACAAAAGACGGAACUCCGUUUGAUCCAAUGAGUCCAAUAUCCUUCACUAUCUCCUUGUUUGAAUCAUUGGUGACAAAUUUUCUGCUAAUCUGUUCAAAGUCAUAUGGGCAUGACUUGAGUUUUGUGGACUCAGUGGUGGAGCUAGGAUCAACCGAAGAAUCCUUGUCCUUGUUAACAUGUCCAUUGCACUUUCCAGCAUGAUCUUCAUACUCCGUUGAUGUGAAGUAAGUCUCGUGACAUGCUGUGCAGUGGUGUUGAGCAGGCCAUAUAGGCUCUAAGCAGUCGCAGCGGCAUGUUUUCCCCAAAAUUGCUGCAGCCUUGGUACUGGGAAGUUCCAUAAGCUGCUGCUCGCUGCUGUUCGAUGACCCCUUGGAUGAUACUGGAGGAUCACUGAGAACAAAAUUACCCAGCUGGUGAUGAAGAUGCCUCUGCCGCUGCCGCUGCCACUGCCACUGUUGGAUAGCACGUUUCAGCUCCUUCUCCCUUGGAUCGUAUUCCCUUAGCCAGUCAACAAGGCUAUGGAUUUCUUCAUCCGAUUCAUAAACAACGACAGAUGCAGAAUUCCACCCUUUACAAUCAGAAGUGGAUGGUGGGUCCCUCUCAUUGCUUAUCAGCAUGCUUCCAUCAGCGACCAGUAAAGGACGUUUACCAGAUCGUCCUAACACCCAGUACAGUCGACCCAAGGAAUCCUUUCCCAGAAAAUCUCUUCUCAGGCAUGCCAUAUUAAGCUCUGACUCUACUGUGCCAAUUGACUCCUGCACUUUUGAAAUCUGGUCCGAUAAAGUAUCCAUUUCACCAUAUGAAGUCCUCAUUUCCUCCUUAUCUUUAAGAUCCUUCAAUUCAUAAUUCAAAGCAUAAAACUUCUUCUGGAGAUCAUUGAACUUAUCUGGACAUUUUUCUAUAUGUUCUCUUAUCAGGACUGUGUUGAGCAUUUCAUCACAAAGAAAUUUCAGCAUAUCUAUUCUCUGCAUUUUGAAGAUAAAUGUUAGACAAUGUAGGUUGUCACUUUGUCCACUAUGAAAAUCAACACAGAGAAAUUAUUAGGUCAAGUAAAAUCAUAUAAAGGAAUAUAGCGAAAUGUGCAAUACACAAAGAACUAAAACUUCCAAACAGUAAAUAGUAGAGAUAUUUACUUGAAACAUAGAAGAGAAAACCAUACCUCUUGUGUGCUAAGCUCCCAGUACUCCUUUUGUGCCACUGUUGCAGCUAACUUAAUAAGCAUGUCAUGAUAGGGUCCUUUCCGUUGUGGUUUCAAAUCCUGAGUAGCCUGGUCAAGAUGUGAUUUGUUUUGAGCUAACAUGCACGAUGGUUUGCCGUGAAAUGCAUGAGACUCUGCUCCUUUUCGCUGUCGUUUAAAAUCCUGAGCACCCUGGUCAAGAUGUGAUCUCUCUGGCUUUAACUUGCACGAUGGGCAGAACCAGUUUCCUCGUGGUAUACGAGUUAGUGGUGGUCUCAGGCAAUAAGUAUGGUACUCCGCGUCGCAGCCAUCACACAAGAGAACAAUGUGAUCAUCUCUAUCAAUGCCACAUACUUUGCAAAUACCCACCUCCCAUGGAGCUUUAGGUAAUUUGGUCGCUGCAGUCACAAUGUCAUGUAGCUCCUCAUGGAUUUCUGAACCAGUAUUCUCAUUAGAGAGGUAACUAUCAAAUCUCUGAACAAGGUCAAGCACCUGCACCAGCCAUGUAAAAAGAACAGAAAGCCAAAAGGUUUACUAAAAUCCUUAGAAAUAAUAUAACUUAGUAAACAGGAAAUUUAACAGUAAGCUAAUAUAUGCUCAAAUCAGCAUAGAUAAUCCCAAUGAGAUGGUAUAAAGCUAACUAAGUGACCCAGUUCUUUUUCUAUUUGCAAUAUUAUCUUGAUCAAACAACAAGGAAAGACAGAGCAUGUUCUGCAAUCAAAAGACACAAUUUGCUAAAAAUGUCCUUUAACCAGUUGAAAAGUAGGUGUUCGAAGCAGUAAACUACCAUACAGAGAGGGAUAACAAACCUCUGUCUUAUACAAUUCAAAACUCUUAGAGAAAUCUGCAACCAGUUCCACUAUAUCCGUUCGAUCGGCACAUACAGCAUACAGAUUACGGAUUACCUGCAGGUAAACAUAACAGAUCAGCGUAGUUUGUGCACAAGCUAACAGACAGUGUGCUGAAACUAGAAAACCAAGUUAACAGUUAGCUUGUGCAGGAGUAUUUGCAGGCACAUGAAGUCAUCCAUGGAAAAUCUGAGAAAAUAUCCCAUGCGUGACCAUGGCAUAAUACAAAAAGGGUGUUAAGAAAAAUGUACCUCUUGCACAUCCUCAAAAAAAGUCUCCCAGGAUCCACAGUAAGCUCCCAUAGCCAACCUUAUAUCAAUUGUGCGGAAGUCCAAAGGGCGUGGCACCAUACCAGAAAACCCAAGGAUGCCCUCAUCCUCAUACUCAUUAGAGUUCACUACAAUAGUUCCAAGCAGAUCCCCAAAAAGCUUAUAUUCAUCUGAGGAAAUGGCAUGGCGCAGGGCAAUACGACACUUCUUCAAGAUAAUCUCUGAGAUGGAAAUAGUUUUCCUUUCAUUUCUUGGGUUUUCAGGCUUUUGUGGCACUAUUGCACGGCAUGCCUCUGACAACACAGAUAAAACAGCUUUCUGUAAAAAGAAAAAAAAUGUUUACUGUAUUUUCCAAAGUCCCCUAGUCACAAGGGUCCUCAAAAUAAAAGAUAGAGAAAAGUAUCAUGGCAACGAAUAAGUCUAACAAGGCAGCGGGCGAAUACAUUUCACAACAUAAGCAUGGCCAUGCUAUGCACUGAUUUCUCUUCGGGCAGCUAUAUAUAUAGUAAAACUUUGGUUAAACUGCGAUGCUGACAGAAAGUUCAUGUUAACCGAAGUUUCCUGCCCAGGCUAAAUAAACAAAAACAUGUAAAUACAAAAUACAUCAUCUGACUGUUUUCCAAGGUUUCAAACAAAAUUCUACAACGAUUCCUGUCAUCCUUUUAAAGGGAUACAGUACUUCAUCACAUAAAAUAGUAAAACAAAAGAAGUGUUAGGGGAACUAGAAAACGGAAUUUAUGCAUUUGUAUUGACGGCCAAGGGCAAAAUACAUGAGGAGCUGUAAUCUAGACCGCAACCCACACAACAAACGGUACUAAAACAUAAACUAAUACAAACUCAUACUUUUAUUUUUGCAACUCGUUACUUUUUAAGAGAAAAACACCAUAAGCAUUGCAACUCGAUCUAUCAAUAAAAAGGUUUUUAUAAGGGCCUGAGAGCAGGUCGAAGCCAGAAAAAGGAAAUUAAACGCAGUCUGGAACAACAAGAAUACAAUGACUGCAGCCUGCAGGAGCAUUACUAACCUUGGUUCGUCCAGAUGCAUUAGCCUUGUAGACCUCUUUACUUAUCGAAUGUUCCAAAAUUUUCCUUGCCCAUUCUGGUGGUUUUCGGUACAAAGCUUCAUAAACACAAUUUCUAAUUCUCGUUCCCACAUUUGUCGGUAAUUUUCUCACAGGCUCUAGUGCUUCUGCCCAAUCUGGCAAUGUUCUGUUAUCAGCAAUAGGCACCUCAGCAGAAUACUUGUAAUCCAUCAUAUAAACCUUGUUUCCUUCACUUGAUAGAGAACUGCAUAUCAAAUUCUCUGCCUCCAGAAGCAGCUGAAAGUACAAGACAAUAAUUACAGUGCAGCAAAAAUAAACAUAAAUUUUACCAUCGUCUAAAAUAAGAACAUGGGAAAUUUAUAAUAUCUCACAAUGAACGCAACACAACAUCCUUAUAAAUUAUAUUCGAUAUUAUCAAAAUAUCACACAGCUGGACAAGGAAUCAAUGUAGUCAAGAUAUCUCCAGCCAAAUAAGCAAAAUCAAGAAUCUUGUCUCCACAGAUAAUAUUUAACAACAAAAUUCCUGCAAACAGGUGGAAAAGCUCUGAAAAAUAUCAUAGAAAAAAACAAAUGGGCAGAGUCUCGUAACUGAUUAUAUAUGCUCGCCUUGCUAGGCUUGUACAUACCUCUUUUUAUUAUCACUACGAAAUACAUAUAAAUACAGAGUAAUGGCAUUCCCUGUUGUUUUACCCUAAAAAACAGAAAGCAAUACUGAUGGUGACAGGUAACCAAAAAACCAAGGUUUUUUCCUAAGCACGAUAAAACAGGGAUAUGUGUUAUGUCCCUCAUGGAAACAACAUAGAAACAUACUAUUAUGUAGAGUUAAUGUGUAUAAAAUAAUUGUACAGGGUUGCAAUCAAAGCAAAUAUUAAUAAAUGGAAAUAAAAAGUUAAAAGAAAAGUCUAAAAACAGAUAGCAAAUAACCAUAGCAUACAGCAAGCUAAAGACAACUCAUGUCUGAUUGAAGAAGGAAAGGAAGGAAUGAUCCAAAUGAAUCACAAGGUUCAGCUAAUUGUUGAAAUAAAAUGCUUACCAGGGCAUCCUUCUCCAUGCCGGCAACCCCAGGUACUGCUCCGCACAGGAUGCCACCAUCACCGUGUAGGCAGCGGAAUAACUUCACCCUUUCUCGACUGGAAAUAUCUGACACAUCCAUGCACCCAUUUAUGGAAGAAAUAGCUAACAUAUACCUUCUAGCCAACUCUGGCCAAGUCAACUUGUUAGCAGUUAGCAUAUCAAAGUUAAAAUCCUUUGUUGAAAUAAGGCUCUCAGUGUCCUUCUUUCUUCCGCGCCUGGGUUUUGAUUCUUUGGGGUCAAUGCUGAGCUUUGAUAAUACCUCACCAAAAAGAACCUUAAUGAGUGCAAGAUGAACGCCGGGCAAUACUGUACCAGUGCACCUCCCAAGUGUCUGGGCUGCCAAUUUAUCUAGACGAGCUUCCUUCAUAGAGGAAGUUUCAACAGGAAUAAAUAUAGACACAAUCUCUUCAUUAUUAGAGAGACCAGACUCACUAUUUGAAUGUGAUGUAGAAGCAUUUGCAGGGGAAUUCAUUGGUGAAGAGUAAUCCCUACAUUCCUGAAUGCCCUUUGACAGUGUUUCUUUCUGACUUGCACAAAUUGGCCAUGGGUCAGCAAGUUCAUCUUCUAAUUGUUCAUAUGAAGGCACUUCUUUGAGAUCAAUGAUUUCAGCAAAGCGCCCCAAGAACUCCCAUAUCUGCAAGAAAUUUUCAAUAAGAUGGAUGCAAGAAUAAAAAUGAAAUGCACAACUUUGUAAAGAUGUGUUUCUCAAAUAGUAGAAACAGUGAAAGAUAUGUAAAGAGCUACCUGGAAAACAUCUGCCGCCGAUUCUGGUUGAAGCUUAUGGCUAAUAGGACGCCCCGGAGGUAGCUUGCGGAUGCUAGAACCGCUGGGCUGAGCAGGAUCGUGUAGCCCAGUCACCCCACCAUGUCUACCAUAUGGUGUAUCUACAUUACUUUGACCAUCUUUAUGCACAGAUAAAAGUAAACCACUUGCAACUGUUACAGAAGAACGAAAUUCUGCCCUAUUGCACAAGAACUGGUAGUUUAUGCAAGACCUGGAUCUAGGAAGAGACUCCACAAUUUCUUGAACAAAUUCCAAAUCAAGCCCAAUUCUAUCAUGGCAUAACCAAUUCUUCAGUAAUGUAUAAGUAGAUUCCACAUCAUUCUUCUUUUCUGUAACUCGUGGUAUACUGGGGCCAUUGGAUGAGCAAAAUCUAGUUAAGGGAGCGUAAGGACCAUCAAAGUUCUGACAUCCCCUCCCCUUGUUUAAUAAAUAAUUUUCGCUGCUGUGUGUGCAUGAGAAUACCAGAUGCCCAUGUUCGUUAUACAUUUUUUCACAUGCUUCCACCAUAGCAGAAGAAAUCAUCCCCCAUACUGAAGAGGGCGAUGUUCCCUCAAAUGUAAACUCACCAAUUUGGUCAUUAAUAUUGGCUUCUUUACCUGGUGGAACAUUCUCAGAAUUUGAUAGUAGUAUUUGUGACAUCAUAUUUGAGCUCUGUACAUCAUUGCGACAUGAAGAAGUCCUUUGAUCCUCCGUAUCACUGGUAAAAAUUGAUAAGAAAUCUUGACUGGUCUCAGAGGGAGUAUCCACCAUCAUAUAAAUAUCAUCAUCCAUAUCAUUAGCAGUAUCUCGAAUAAAACUGCUACUUUCCUUUGUUUCAGCGGCCUUUGUUGCACCAUUCUGAGAGAGAAUGGUCGAGGCUUCUGGAAGGGGGAACACUGAACAUGGUAACCUUCUGACCUUAAACAAAGGCGCAAAACUCCCUCCAUCACACACCUCACACUCAAACAGUGAACCAGUGACUCUAUCAUGCCAGUAAGAUGUAAAACCCACCGGCCAUAUCUGGUGGCAAUUGUGGUAGCUUGCAUGUUUAUCGAUUUCUCCCAAGUUAGUUAUGAAGAAAUCUUGAUAUUGAACAGGUAGGCCAACCUAGAGUAACAACACAAUAAAGCAGUGUUAUCAAAAUCAGCACCAAAGUGAACGUAAGAUAAGAGUACUGCAGUAUAAAAAAACAAAGGAUGUACCAGUAGGAAACAAUAACAUCUAAAAUGGGCACAGGAUGAAGAAACAGAAUCUGAAACAGGUAAUGAGAUACUCACACAGUGAUGAUGUUGUUGACGGUUGCAAUUUUCCGCAAGAAAUUUUGGAGGCUUUGGUGGAUUUCUUUCUUCUGCAGGACUCGGGGUUUUUGCUUUCGUAAAAAAUGAUGGCUCCGUAAAUGUGCUGGAACUUCCAAACUCGUGCUUCUCAGAAAACUUGCGAAAUGCUGAUUUUUGUGGAAAAUCUCUUCUCCUGCCACGUGUAUGAUUUGACCUCUGGUCUAUGUUUCCAUCAGCAAUGAAAUUUUGAUCCACAGGAGGAAAUUGUUGUCUCGUGCUAAAACAACGAGGAAGACUAAAUGCUGGUAUAAAGUGAUUCCCAUCUGCAACAUGAUAGCCAGAAGUAGAUUAUUAUAAGAUGCACCACCAAUGAUGGUCAAUAGUUACAUUAGAGACCAGUCAACUAUAGCAUUAAAACGGUAGCAUGACCCAUAGUUUUUUGGAACUGGAAUUAAAAUUGCCCUUUAUGGAUAAACACAUACUACGCCUAAGUGGCCGCACAUGCACUGAACAUGGGGCAAGCAGAAGUUUAUCUUGAUGGUGUUAGCACAGCAAAUUGUUAUCUAAAAAGUUACAGUGCAUAAAAGAUUAAAAGGUGUGGAAAUCUCCAACAAAAAGCAAAUACAUCUCUCUUGCAGUACAUAUGAUUGCUCUAAUAUCCUUACCAAAAGGAGUUGUAUUAUUCAACUGCAGCCCCUCAAAAUGUGGAGUAGCCAAUUCAAUCAAAUGAGCUCCAUCAGCAACACUUACUCUGCGAGGAUCAAAAGAAAAUAUUAACUCUUCUGAUGAUAAUGUCUGUACAACAAAGGUUAUUAGAAAAUUUCCUAUAACAUUUCUGAUAUUAUUAUUUCAGAGCACCCAAAAACAGUCCAUUUUAUAAAUUUUAUCGCAAAAUAGUUGCGACAAUUUUUUUUUUGCAUAAACAGAAUUUCAAGAAAUCAGAAGUUUUUUUUUGUACUCCAAACAGAUCUUUCAAGAGUAGUCAAAACAAUAACCAUGUGACAAUAAAACAGCGAGCAUCAUGUAGAGUAAUGAAAGCACUGCUCUGUAACACAAUGAACCAGCUAUUAAAAAUGCAAGCAUGCUUUCAACGCUUAUUCUCUUCAGCAUAGCACAUAAAAGUAGCCUAAAACAAUGGAAGGAUAUUAAUGAUUUGAUUGUUCUACAAUUUAGUUUACAGUACUACUGAGAAUUAAUGGAACGCAACCUAUUCACAACUGUUAUGGUUGUAAACUUCUUAACACACUGAUAUGCAAAGACAAUUGAGAAAAUUCAACGCCAUAAUAAUCACUAAAGGUACAGAACAACAAUCAUCAAGAUAACUAAACAUUGUACAGAACGAUGGCACAUAUAUACGGCCAAGUCUUGAUAAUAAUCACUGUAGGUACUUUAUGUACUUUUAACAAAUUCCACAUCACUGUUCCAGCAUGUAUAUCUUACAAGAAAUGGCUGUACAUAUAACCAAUAAAGUAGAACAAUUUGGUGUAGGGACACCUGGUUGAAUGAUUUCUGUAAGUACAUAAGCAUUUGUGUUUAUGUGGAUCUAAAUGUGAUAUUAAAAUAAGUAGAAGAGAAGUAGAAAAAAAGGGCAUACAUGAGAGUUGAUGAUCGAAAGCAUAGAACGUUACUUUCUGACCGACAUUCAUUUUCUAUAAAUUUAGUGUGAAAUAUAUCUUUUCAAAAUACAAGAACCAAGCAAUCUGACAUGUGACCAUGGCCCAGUCUCCAAAGGAGACUAUCCUUGCAAUAUGUAUGGAAUAACUCAACCAAAAUAGGAAAGGACUAAAACCAUAACAUCAGUGCACUCUAACCUACACUUGAAGUCAGGCCAGAGUCCAUCACUAAGCAGUUUGACAAAUGCUCGCCUAAUCUUAUAGGCUGUAUAUGAUAUUGAAAUGCUUAAUAAAGGAAAGGCGUCAUUUGCUAACAAUUGGGUAAAAUGCAUAUGAACUGAUCAGAAAAAUUUGCAGCCAUGUGAGAGUUGUCAUCAAUGAAAAAAAAUAGCACGAUACCCGCAAAAAAUAGCACACAAUCAAAUAUAGCUUCGCCCUUCUCCAGAUGCUACACAAGUUAUAGCACGCUAAUAGCAUGCUAUAUUUGAAAAUAGCAUUUUGCAAAAAAAUGCCAAAUAUAUCCAGAAAUAAAGGAUUUCAGCAACUACAUUUUUUCCUGGAGCAAUACAUGCACAAGGUCCAAUUCCAUGGCAUAAACAUGCACAUUCCUUUCAUACCCAGAUUCAGAAGUGGUUUGGGCUUGCAGAGGACAAACAAUAGUAAAUUAGUAAUACAAGAGAAGAACAAGUGGACACGCAUAGAUACGAUACCAUCAAGCACAACAGAUGUAGUAUUAGGUUGAUGCCAAGUACUUAUAAUUAAGAUAGGAAACUGUAGUUCCACUAUAGGUGAUCUAACAGAGAAUCAACAUGUUUUGUUCAAUGAAAAAAUUGCAACGGCUGGCGACGAGGAGCAACAAGGCGGCGGCAAGUUCAGCGCGACUAGCUUCCUCUGCCACGGCGACAGGAGCAGCAGGAGGACGAUGCGGAUGGGGACUUGGGUGAGGAAAUAGAAUGAAGCCGACACUGCUACUUGGAGACUGAAUGAAGAGAGGAUGCUCUCACUUGCCGGCUGACUUGCCAGCACCGGCGGCUUGGCUGACAUCGGCGCGGCGCCACUGACUUGUUGGAGUUGGAGAUGUGGCUGACGCCGCUACUUGGAGACGGGAGGAAGAGAAGCCGCUGCCGCUCACGAACCGCCGCCGUCUCCUUCACUCAUGAGUCAUGAGAUGCCGCCGCCGCCGCCCUAGGUCACGAGCUAUUGAGCUAGUGGGAAAUGGGGGAUGAGGGUCACGAGUUGGCUAGAUUAGGUCGAUGGGCUGUUGCAUUUGUUGCGUCUACGAGAGAGAGUGAGAGUGGGUUGGGCCGAUAUCAGAUGGGUCGUGUGAAUGCUAAAAUGCUAAAACGUUUUUUUGUUAGCGCCGGAUUAGCAUCGUAGCGAGCAAAUUAGGUAAAACAUAACGUGGCCCUUCCCGAUAUGCUAUAGCAACGCUAUAAGGCCGAAAUAGCACGCUAUUUUUUAGUUGGUUGUCAUGUUAAAAGAAGAAUAGAAUAGAUGAUUAGUGGGUUUCCUAUACAUAACUUGUUAAGGGAUCCCCUGGUAGACCUCAGGUAACUCACAAUUAGGAAAGGCAUUCUUGACAUCAUGUUGAGAGACAACCUAGUGUCGAACAAAAGCCACGACAAGGGUGCAAACUGUGUUUAUGUGGGCAACAUGAGCAAAUGCCUUGUCUUAGGCAUGACCAUUCUCAUGAUGAAAGCCACGAGCAAUAAGACGAGCCAUGUAGAGCUCAAGAGAACCAUCACGACCAGUCUUAACCUUUGUAGACCCACUUACAAUUGAUGGGAGCGUGUCGGCAGGCAAAAAGGACACGGGUGGGGUGGACGCUCGAAGGCACACGAGAGUGGCUUUCCAACGGGCCCGAUGGAGAGGAACGGCUACCGAGUGAACCUGAUUAGAGCGAGACAGGCAAUGAUUGUCAAUCUAGGCAAUGCGAAUGUGGCUAGGAACAAGGGGAUGCAGCGACAACAAGGGGAUGAAGAUGGUGGUGAGAGAUCAAGAGGAACUCGACUAGAGAAGACCGGGAGAAAAAGAUUAGGAGAGAGACGAGUUGCGGCUUCAUGAGUAAAAAUCAAAUCCCUAAACAUAACUUCUGGCACCAUGCGAGGAAAUAUGCAACUUUUAUUUCCACGAGGCCAUAGGCUGUGGCCCCAUAAGGCAACGAAACUAAGAGAUGAUAUUGCUGUCACCCACAUGUGAGGGGAAUGUGAUUUGGAUAAGUAUUGAACUGGACCAUUUAAGAAUCCAAUUUAUAAAUAGGACAUGGUAUGAGAUUUUUUACAUCUAGACACUAUAUGCUCCGAUUUCGAACCCGGCACACUAGAUAUAUUAUUCCUAAUAUGCGACGGUACUAGGAUUAUGGAGUUUUUUAGCAAGAUUAACCAACCCUCUUAAAUAGGAUAAUCUGACUUCUAUAGAACUUGAAUAACAAACUUGUCAUAUGGAUAUUACUUGUUUAUGGCAUGGUGUGGUUGCCUCCUAGUGUUUUACUCGUGGAAGUUUACAGCCUUCUAGAGUUUAUUAUGUGCUUCUAGUUGUUAUAUACGCCCUUUACUCUUGUGAUUUUGUCUGACAUUUAAAUACUCUCCGCAUGUGUAUUACCCGUUCACUUGUGUCUAUUAUCGUAAUGAGGCAGUACACUACCCUGCCAAGUCUAGCUCCGACAUCAUCUGUAUUUGUAUCUACAUCCUAGUGCUAUCCACUCUGCUUCUAAAUCCAACAAAAUAAUGUGGUAUAGGGCAUGGUCUGAGCAGUAUCCGAUCAAAUCCACUGCACUUGUACCUGUAGGCUACAAGGAAUGGAUCAUGCUCCACGCCACCUGAUGACGAAUAACACCCUAAGGUGUGAAGACAUUAAUCAUGAAAUUACACCAUACUUCCUAUUCCUUGGUGGAGACACCAAUGGUAGAAAAAUAGGAUGAAAUGACAUAAUCUGGGCAAGGGUGGUAGUGGGUCACCAACACCGAGGGUGUUGGUGGCAGGGUGGCAUCAAGACAUCACACGAUGAGUUCCGUUGCUCCUUUAUUGCGGCCAAUGUUUCCACCACAUCCUCCUAUAUGAUCAUAACAUAUUGUAGGCGGUUUGAUGUUCUCGAAGGUGUCCAUGGGUGGGUAUGGCCACCAUAUUGUUGUUUCUGGCCUCCAACUUACCCCAAGAACACUUGAUGGCAAAAUCAAUGAUGAGCACAAGGAAUUAUGUAUCUUCGUUCAUGGCGCGGUAGAUGUCAUAGGAAGUUGUUGGUUGUUCCUUGAAUAGGACGAGGCACAAGUCAAGAGAAGAGAAUGUAUGAUUCGGAGAUAAUUUACUUCAUCAUUUAUUGUUUUCCUCUCAAGCAUAUGGUCUUCUACAUACAUAGGAAACUCCUCUUAGCAAGUUCACCAUGAAGAUAUCGGUAAAUGGGAAAAAUCUUCAAUCCAGAAAAUAUGGCAAUGUGAUCAUGAGCAAACCGAGUACACCCUCAAUCCCAGGGAUUCUCAUAGAUCUUGCAAUAUGUGAGUCCUCUGGGAUGUAGGUUGUCAACUCAAUAUAAGAGGUUACUCAAUGACAUGGCUCGCAUGAUGUCUCUUCCUUGAUUCAUCUCCCCUACAUGGCCUAAGGUAAUUCCCUUUGUGUGGCGAAAUCGUCACAUAGAAGUUCACAUAGAUGCCAUUGGCUAGAUAGGGGGAUACCAUGGCAUACCCCUCCGAGAAUCACCAUCGAUGCGUGCGUUGAAAUGUAAUGUCUCAUGAACUUAACUAAUCGCUUGUGUAGAAGGUCCCACUUAGACUCCUAUGAAGAUCCACAGAAUUGUGUCAUGGUUCCUUAAACUCACAAAAUACAAGUGACACUGGCGAUCAAACAUUAUUUGUCUUAAACCUUGAGAGUUUGCUACUCCAAGUCUUCAGAAAGUACCUAAUAGCUUUUUAAUGUUCAGACGCAACGACGAUUCCAAUUUCACAUCAUAACUAUGUUUAUAGUUGGUCGAAUGACAGAAAGAAAGAUAAGUUCACAUCUCAAUCGAACCUUUAUAAGGAGUUAGAAAAAAUGACCAUCUACAAGUAAUGUGUAAGAAAGAGUUGCCCCGUUAAUGAAAAAUAAUGGAAAUAGUUAAAACUAGCAAUAGCAGCCGCAAGUAGAAACAUAGUGACGAUAAUUUUGAGCUGCGGCAAUGGUCGCUGACUCCUUAUAAGGGUAUACAUAAAUGCCAAACAGGCAAUGUUAGGGAAAGCAACAAACCAAAACUGCCCCUGCAUCCUCCGCCUGCACGACACGGGCGGCCAGCCGAUCCAUAUUUUCAGGCGGCCGUCUUCCUGAGCAUCUUCUCCUCCUCGCUGCCAGGAGUGGCAAUCGGGCUUGCCUGCAUAGCUGACGACGGUGGCAAGGCUCCAUUCCUGUUUUCGUCCAAUAGUCCUUGGUGAUGUACUUUCCGACGGCUUGACUCAGUAAUGGCACACGUGAUGCAACAGCGGCAUCAGUUUGUGGCUGGGCAGGGGCUACAUCACGCCUUCCUAUUCCCGAUGGCGUUGUCUUGCCGCACGCGCCCCAGUGGUGGAGGAAAGGGAGCCAACACAGCCACCAUGUCCUUGAUCUGGAGAGCCUAUUCAUCUAGCAGGGGCUAGCACUGCUCCCAAAGCGCCUCCUCAGAGUUAUGGCAUGGUUGGAUGAGGAGGUGGCAAUGCAACAGAUGUCGCGACCAUCACCCGUGUACCAAAGGGUAUGUGACGGUGGCCAUGCAACAGAUGUCGCAGCCAUCGGGCCCGAUAUGGCCGAUACGCUGUUGGGUACUAUCGGUCAUGCUUGGCUAACUAGCGUUGCCUCCAUCGACGCGGCAUCGGCUGAAAAAUGGUCGCCGGAAGGGUUGGACCUCAAGAUCUAGAAGGUUCGUGUGUAAUCUGCUGCACAUGUGGUGAUGUCUCAUGUAAAUCUAUCAUCUACUGCCACUUGCGAGGAUGGUGUUGGUAUGCCUAAUCGUCUCAAACUUGGGAUUUGGGCGGUGCAUGUGACCUUCUGCCCUCAUCAAAGUAUGUGUUGUGUUUUGGCAAGCGGAUCUUGUCGUGGUUCGACCGCAUGCUCAUGUGGGCCUGGUCAUCUCUUGCGUGACAUCUCACGUCAUGACCAUGCGCAUAUGCAGUUGCGGGGGUCGUGGGAAGUGGAGGAGAUAACAUAUGAUCAUUUCGAUUGGGUGGUGCUUCUGGAGUACCCGGUCUUGAGCUCCGGGGGAAAACCCUAGGUCUAACCUUGGUUGGUUAUACCUGGCAAUGGCGGUGCUUUUGCGUGAUUACCCUGUUGAAGGCAUUGCUUGCAGUUUUCUCGGACCCGAUCUUCAGGGUGAAAACCCAUGAUCUGGCCUUCGAUGGUGGAUCCAACGGCGGGAACGCUUAUACGUCAUUUCUUUGAUGAGGGCAUUUCCUUUGUAGAAUCCUUCUCAUAGUAAUAUGUUGUCAAAAGAUGGUUGGUGUUGAUGGUCGUUGUAUAUAUCAUCGAUCGCUGUUGUGUCGCUUUAGACUUUUUCUUUUCUUUCUUUCACCUUGGCAUAGAUUCGGUCUUAUAUGACUUUUCUUUUUGCCAAUGAGAUCCUUGUGUGUGUCUGUAGUGGUGGCUGUGUGCAUCUUAGUUAUGCAGAGAUCGGGUGUGUGUUCAUUAUGCUUGUAUCACUCAAUGCUACACUAUGAGUUAAUAAAAAACACCCUUUGUCGAAAAACAAAAACAUAAGGGAAAACAAGUCAUGGGUGAGAGAAGAUAUUGGAGUUGGACCAUGCUCGAUCGAAUUAGGAUGGACCAUAGGGAAGAAAGAAAUGGAAAGGAUUCAAUGGAAUUGGUCAAAUAAGGAAGGGUUGUGACAAUCCAAGGAAAUUACUGGCUAAAGGAGACAAAAAUAUUGAUGAUUUUUGUGGCUUUGGAUGAAGUUGAAGACAAACAAAAAACUCGAUGGAGUAACAAAUAACCAUGGACAUGCCAAAUUAAAAAGAUCCUUUAGAGAUCUAGCUAAAGAAUGCGUAGUGAGGUCGAGAGGUCAAGGCCGACAAUCCUAAAUCUAAAGAAAGAAAGCUAACAACAAGAGUCGUGUCCACUGAUAUUGAGCAAUGGCACGAAGAUAACUACACAAGAGGCACCGAAAUAGAUUGCCAUGGUGAUAUAGGUUAGGCGUGGAUGCUAGCAGAAAGACGCAGUACAUGUUUGUUUGAUGUCCCAUACAUUGUAGUGCAGGAUAGAGAUACUGUUCACAAUGUUGUGACUCGCAACAAAUUCUUAUCAUGACAAGAAUGUAGAUUUCAUUCAAUCUUGUAGAAGCUUUCUGGAUUAUGUGAAUACAAAAGAACUAGUUCUGUGGGAAGGUGGCACCAGUGGUACAUGAGUGCAUUCAACCAUCGACCAUGUAAGCACAACGCCCAUCCUCUUUUUGUCUCUCUUACCAUACAUCAGUAAGCCUAUCUGUCAAGGCAUUUAGGUGCCUUCUUUGUUAGGCUUGUGUUUGGUGGUGGUGGCCCCAUGGUGGUUUCCCAACUCCAUCCUCGCCCUAGUGUGGCCAUCACGAUCUACCUCGUAGAGCUAGUGAUUCUCAAUGCUCGUUAAUUUGGGCUUUGCGCCUUCUCUACUAGUUGUAUGGCUGAGCAACAGUUUGGCAGCCUGCCUUGCAAGGGGUUUUUGGUCAUAUUAGGUUCUCACCACUUGAGCUAGGCAACUCAUGUGGCUGUGCAAAACCUAUAUAUGGUUGGCCUGGCUUGUGCAGGUUUGAUCUUUUGUGGUUUCAUCACCGAAGACAUGGAGAAACAUCAGACAUUAGAUCGAAAGGACAUUGAUGUAACUUGGUUUUAUCAUGGAUCUUCUUUGUUGGUGGUAUUUCAGUUGUUCCGGUCCAUUGUACUAUCGUUAAUCAAUCAAUAUAGCUAGCCCAUUGUUCUAACGGAAUCCCCAGCUACCAUUUCCUCCAGAUUAAUUUCCAUCCGCAGCUCCGCAGCCAGACACCUUCAUCACCGAUGCUUCAUUUCCUUCUACUCACUACUAGUGAUCCAUUCUCCAAUUAAUCACACCAAGCCAAAUCAUCUUCUCUUGUGAACCCGGUAGAUUCAUUAAUUUACUGGAACAGACUAGGUGAUACCUAACCCCAAACUUAAUGGACCGAAAGAGAACCCACAAAAGAGUUCAUGAUACACAUUAAAGAGAACUAGUUCAAAUCUCCACACUGGAAUUUUGGAUAAAGAAAAUGCCAUACAGCAAUAUCAUGCAACAAUGCAAGAGAAACCAAUAAGAUACCUUCACAUUGAAAGAAAAUAAGAACAACUACAAAUUUCUCUCCUACAGAUUGCAAGUCAUGGUGAUUUUAAAAUUCCCUAAGGCUGAACUGCAUGUACCUGUCAAGACCCAAACAUGCAGGUGUCCUACUUCAAUAAACUAGUAACACAAAUCAAAUUAGCGCCACAACUAGAAAAAAAUAAAAUUAUCAUUGCGCAUGCCCUCACUGUCGUGAAAGGGUGACAACAUUAAAUUAGCUACAAUAUCUCAUAUACCAUGUUCUUUGUAGUAAAUCAGGGAGAAACAUGUAACGACCACGAAUGAGACUACAGUGUAAUACCUAAUUUAAUAGCCCCUAAAAUAAGAUGCAACACAUACCAUGCCGCACUAAUGCUUUAGAAAGCCACUGCUACCAGUUGCUAAUUAUAGCAUUUAUUUUAAACCAAGUCAUUUAGGUCUCAGUGUUAUCAAUAGUCAAGCAAAGCAGAAAAAUCCAAAGAACAUACUAGAUUCAUAUGCUAUGUUCUCGACUGGACAUCAUGUCAUAAGAAGUAGCAAACUAAACAUCAUGUCACGUUCUCGACUGGACUCACCAUUAGUACUACUGGCGUUUCAUGAACAACAAUCUACCUACUUCUUAGAGCUAGCAUAUAUAAAAUUCACUGAUCAAAAUAAGAUCUAAAAUCAUAAGGAGAUUAUUAAGAGGGAGCUGAGAUAACUGCCUGGUGAUGUCUCAGCUCAAAAGUUCUUAUUUUCUACUGGAUUAAAUUUAUCUUGACAACUAUCAAACUCAUCAAUCAGUAUGGUGAUAUCAUCUGGGUGAACUCUGUAGCUAUAGCAAAUAAUGUCAUAAAUCAUCUCUCAUCUCCCAAAACAAAAAGGCACAUCUAAUUUUUUCUUGGGGUCUGUCUAUGGCACAUUGAGUGACCUAGUUGCUACACAACUAAGUGACUCAAUCAAACAUAAAAAGAAGAGAAAAGGGAAAAAAAAGAAAACACCCACACGAAUCCCGCGAAAAUCAACGACAUAGGACUUAAUUAGAUGGACACGAGCCUGGCGAUCACUUAGGGCACAUCUAGAUGUGCUUUAGCAAAACCAAGGGAAAAAAGAAAGACACAUCUAAUUUAUAAAUUAAUCAAUGGUCUUGCGUCGUAAGCCAGCCCGUUAAUUAUACUAUAGGUAAUGCACAAAUCUACCAGAAAAAUAACUGCACGGUAUACCUUCAGGCUCGAUUGCUGGAGGAAUAAAUCAAGUGAUCGCCGGGCUCGUGUACUCGAUGAUGGCAUGGCGCAUCGAUCGGUACCGCGGCAGCAGGAUCUAC